rnacentral:lncRNA from 1 species
UGGAUUUGGGUGAUGGGCGCUGGGCUUGGACGACUAGGCCCAAGAGAAAAAUAAUUAAAGAAAAAAUUGGUUAGAUUGGAUGCUUCCGUGUAAUUUUUAGAAAAAAGGAGUGUCGGAGCAAACUAGGCUUAAAAAAUUAAUCUCAUAAAUUUAUAGAUAAAUUGUACAAUUAGUUUUUUUCAUUUAUUUAUAUUUAAUGCUUUAUGCAUGUGUUGUAAGAUUCGUUGUAAAAUUUUUGGAACUAAACAAGGCCUAAGGCUUGGUUCAGUUCGCGAAUUUUUUGAAUUUCGCCACUGUAGCACUUUCGUUUGUUUGUGGCAAAUAUUGUCCAAUCAAAGACUAACAAUGGUCAAAAGAUUCGUCUCACGAUUUACAGGCAAACUAUAUAAUUAGUUUUUGUUUUCGUCUAUAUUUAAUGCUUCAUGCAUGUGCCGCAAGAUUUGAUGUGACGGAGAAUCUAAAAAAUUUUUGGAAACUAAACGAGGCCUAAAUAGUUCAUAUCGUGUACGUACGCAUAAGCAGUGCACGGCGCCACGGCCACUGAACCUGCAUACGGAGUAUAUAGUAGCAAGAGCUCAGCAGCUUGCCACAGCCCACAGGCACUGGCACAACAGCUUAACAAGCCGGAUAGGGUAGCCCUUUUGCAGACAGCCAUCGGCCAUCCGCUCACCCCGUCUUUUGCCUGUGCGAGCUAGAAAUGGAGAGCGCCGCCAACGCCAAGCCUCACUUCGUGCUCCUCCCAUGGACAGGAACCAUCAGCCACGUGAUCCCCAUGGCAGACCUGGGCUGCCUCCUCGCGUCCCACGGAGCCGAGGUCACCAUCAUCACCACGCCCGUCAACGCAGCCAUAGCACAGAGCCGUGUCGACCGCGCCCCGGCGCCACGGUCACCCGGUGCCGCCGCGAUCACGGUCACCGCGGCCCCGUUCCCCGGCCGCGGACGCCGGCCUGCCCGAGGGCUGCGAGAGGAUGGACCUGCUCCGGUCUCAGGACGAGGUGCCUGUCCGCGGACGCUCUGCACCGAGUACCUGUACAAGCACUGAAGCACAGGCUGCACGAGGCUGUCGCGUCGGCCGACGAGCUGUUCGACGCCCCAGUCCCAGCGCUGCUCGCCUUUCCAGCUCAGGCUGUCGCGUAGGCAGCUCCCGCCGCAUUUCAUGCUCAUGCCGGCCACUAAUUCCGUCGGUGGAAAGGCGCUGCAGGGGAUCCGGGAUUUUGACGUGGCCGCGGACGGCAUCGUGGUCUGGUUCGAGUCUCGACCGUCAGUCCAUGUCGAGUGACGCAAGGCGAUGCAUGGCGUGGCUGGGCGCCAAGGAGCCCAAGUCCGUGGUGUACGUGAGCUUCGGCAGCGCAUGUGCCGCCCGCUCAGCUCAUGCAGCUUGGCAUGGCGCUUGUCUCGUGCCCCUCGCCGCCUGUGCUCUGGCUCAUCAAGGGCGCCGACUCCCUGCCCGACGACGUCAAGGACUGGCUGCGCGAGAACACCGACGCGGACGGCGUCGCAGGCAGCAGGUGCCUGGUGGUGCGCGGGUGCCGGGUGGGCGCCCCAGGUGGCCAUCCUGGCUCAUCCAGCUAUUGGCGGCUUCAGGACGCACUGCCACUCUCGAGGCCGUUGCAGCUGGUGUGCCCAUGGCGACCUGGCCCUUUUCCGCCGAGCAGUUUAUCAAUGAAACAGAAGGCGAAAGAUGCUUUGGAGAAAGGGAGGAUCAUCCUACCGUAAUUUGGAGAAUUCGAUCCAGUCUUUUUCUUUGAAGGUCAACAUAUCUCACUGAUGGAGUGAUGAGUCCCAGCAUACGUGUCUGUUUCCUUCGGAUAUUUAUUUAUUGUCUAUUAUUACUUGCGUCGUUUGUUUUUGUCAAAUAAAAUUAUUGUAUUCUUAAAUCAAUCGGUGCUCCUGCAAAACAUAACCGUGUGUGUGGUGAUUAGGAAAAAAGAAAUUUAUCGAGCAUCUAUGGAAAAUAGCUAUGUAUCUUUUUUUUAAGAGCUAUAAUUUAUUGAUUAAUGUUUUAUAUGCGUUAUUUUACGAUGAUUAUAAUAAAAUAGUAAUUAAAUGGAGACAAGUAUAUUAAGAUUUAAAAUUGAAUAAAAAUAGAGAGAAGUGUCUUAAGAUAACCUGGAGAGUUUUUUUUUUAAGAAAAUCUAAAAACCAAAAAAAAAAGUGGCCAUGCAGGAGACAAGUAUAUUAAGAUGAGCUGGAGAGUUAAUUAAAAAAGACAUGUAUCUUAAGAUGACUAUUUGUUAGAAAAUCUUAAAAAAUGUUAAGAAAUGAAGAGUAAUAAAAAUAAAUUUUGGCCCAUGCAGGUCUCGAACCUGCGACCUUCGCGUUAUUAGCACGACGCUCUAACCAACUGAGCUAAUAGGCCAAUUUGAGGUCUUAGAAAGUAUUUGAUUAUUUAAUAUAUAAAUCUCCACAGACCCCUGCCAUGCCGACACCAGAUACACAUAGACAUUCACCGUUCUCAUUCGAACACAAUUUGCAUCUCGGGAACCGGAAGGUGAACAUAAACCGCGCACAAAACAAAGGUUGAAGCGGCAAAGUGCAAAGAGAGCGAGGUCCAGGUCCCGGCGAACUCUGCUUAUUGAGUACACGGCUGCUUGUUUUCUGACACGCCCGGCCCUCGAUCUCAUUAUCAACACAUAUAUACAUCCAGAGCAGAGACGCCACACAUAAAGACCGAGACUUGAGCUAUACUAGCUGGACACAGGAUCACUUCGCCUUCCAUUCCAUUCAUUCGCGCAGCACCGUACCACCAGCCAUCCUCUUCGUCUAGGACAUCUUGGCGUGCUGCGCGCGCUGCCUCUCGACGUACUCGAAGAGGCUGCCGUCGUACACGCGCCGCAUGGCCUCCCGCGACACGUACCCCUCGUCGUCCCGCGCCAGCACGUACAGGAUCGUCCACUCCAGCUUCGCCGCGACCCUGCGACAGAGAGGGGACAGAGGAGCUCGCAUAGUAAGCCAGGAGGCAGCCUGACUGGAGGAGGGAGAUGGGAGGUUGAUUGGGUGGGUCAGUGCUAGCUCACCAGCCGAAGAGAUCGAAGGCGUCGCGGAAGCCCUCGGUCAUGGACCACAGCUCCCUGUAGGUGAGCCUGUCCGGGGACGUGCGGGCGUACUUGCUGAACAUGUUCUCGAAGUUCACCGGCAUGAACCUGAACCAGAGGACGAAUUGAGCCUGCAUUUGGAACUCUAGAUUGCGCUAGCUAGGACAGGGAGAGACAUCAUCGGCAGAUCACUCGCUACCUGCCCUCGUCGUCAUAGGUCCCAGAGUCACUGCCAUGCUUGCUCUUGUGGAUGUUGUGGACGUAGAUCGGGAACAGAGGGGACGGCAGCCAGCCCUACAACCACAAAUACAGUACAGAGACGUUAAAACGUUAACAUUUUCUUGUCCCCAACACAGUACAUGCAUUUUACGGCCCCUGCUAAAACCAUCGAUAGAUUGCCUCAACCAGAGACAUGGGUUGGAGCUGUACUCACGGGCAGUGUGGCAUAGCUCAUGGCCCCGUUCACGACAACAGCGAUGAAGAACGACAUGAUCAUGUUGAACCCAAGCGCACGGCAUCCUGCAUUGUUUGCAGCGUCUCUCGUAUCAGUUUUGCAGGAGCCAGCAGUAUGUAGCAUGCUACUGGAACUAGAGCAGCCGGCCGGAGGAGGAAGAUUGAUGCGGCGAUAUGAUAUAAUUUCGCGUGCAUACCGGAGUAAGUCUCCCAAGGGUAGAUGAUGCCGUUGUCGUCGCGGUCGAAGAAGGCGACGUGCUGCUGCAGCACGCUCAUGUGGUGGUGCAUGUGCUCGUCGUCCGCGGUGCCGUCGGGGUGGUAGAUGUCCGGCGCCGCCAGAGCUCGCGCCAGAUCUGCUCAUCAGCGGACGCGUACAUAAUUAACGUCAGUGGCAAAUCGUGCGUGCGUGCGCGCGCUGAUACUACUAGGAAAAGUGCGCGCACUCACAUGGCUUGGGGAGGUGCUCCUCGAGGUCGCCGCGGACGGGGCGCAUGGCGGUCACCGGCGCCUGCAGUGCGACGAUGGUCUGGGAGUCCUUCGCCUCCACGGCCGACAUGCCGUGAUGAUGCAUAUUGGCCCCGCCAGCCUUGUUGCCGGUGGCGUCGCCCUUCCCUACGUCCACAGCCCUGGCGGCGUCGCUCUUCGCCACGUCGGUGCCGACCUUGGCGCCGGUGGCGGCGUCGCCCUUCCCCUCCGUCGUCUUCGCCGCGCCGCGGUCACCGUUGCGCGCCUGCUUGGCCGUCGUUGCCCCCUGCAUCUCUGCUCCGCUACCGCCGCGCAGCCUUCGAUCGAGUCUGUUGCCUGGUGGCUAGCCUAACAGGAUUGGAGAGAUCGAGCUGAGAGAGAUCUGUGCAGUUCGUCAAAUUGAAGUGAGAAAUCAAAGGCUACCUGAGCUAGUUUCUGGUGUGUAGGCCGCUGCGGAGGACGAAUAUAUAAAGCGGCUCGGCGGUCGCGCGGGACGUGGCGCGGCAGCAGACGCGACGUGGUCGCGUGCAUGGCGGUCGUCCCUGCUAGGCCGUAACGUGUCGCGGUUCGCAGCAGGGUGUCCACAACUCCUGAUGCUUGUGUUUGGUGGGUGCCGUGAGGCACGACGUCGGAGACACUAGUGACACUCGGGAGUACUAGCUAGCCUCCUCAUCAUCGGGCUGAAGCGGGUGGUUGUCUCUCUCUAGUUAGUACUCCGUCCAAUUAUAGUUGUUGUUGUAAGAUUUAAAAUACAUCGCUCCGUAACGUUCUAGACCUUGUUUACUUCCACCUCAAAAUCCAAAAAUCUUUAAGAUUCUCUGUUACAUCGAAACUUUAGACACAUAUAUAGAGUAUUAAAUAUGGACGAAAAUAAAAACUAAUUACACAGUUUAGUCAAAAUUUACAGAACGAAUCUUUUAAGCCUAGUUAGUUAGUUGAACAAUAAUUACCAUAAACAAACGAAAAUACUACAGCAUUGUAAAAUUUUUCCCAGUAAGAAUUAAACACGGCCUUAACCUUAGUUGUGAGUCUCAGCUUCUUGUUCAUUUUGUUUAAGGAAAAAAUGCCGAAGCAUGGAAUGGAAAGUGGCAAGCCAAAGCGUGUUGGCUGUACUGCUGUAGUAGUUUUUAGGUUUGUUUAGUUCGUGAAAAGUAAAUUAAAAGUAAAUUUUUAGAUGUCACGUCAUAUACAUCAAUACAUAUAUAGAUUAAUUAAAAAAUAAAUUAUAUAACUCGCUUAAAAAACUACGAGACAAAUUUAUUAAGUCUAAUUAAUACUCAAUCCAUCCCAAAUUAUAAGUCGUUUGACUUUUUUAAUAUCAAGUUUGACCACUGGUCUUAUUCAAAUUUUUAUAUAAAAUAUUACUUUUUUUUGUUGUGUAUUGGUUUAUUAAUAAAAGUUCUUCAAGAAUGACUUAAAUUUGACUAUAUUUGCACAAAUUUUUUUGAAUAAGACGAGUGGUCAAACUUGAGGUAAAAAAAGUCAAACGACUUACAAUUUGGUAUGGAGGGAGUAUGUUAUUAGCAUAUGGUAGUUACUACAAUAAUUAUGACAAAUUAUGAACUAAUUAAGCUUAGAAGAUUUAUCUCGCGAUUUCAUAACCAAUUUAUAGAAUUAUUUUUUCAUCUACAUUUAAUGCUACAUGCAUAUAUCGAAAGAUUCGAUGAAAUAGGUAAAAAAAAAUUUAGGUAUGAACUAAAUAAGGCCUUAAUGCAAAAGCGUUUUUGUGUGAAUGCUUUCUUUCUUAGUCUGUCAGCAUGUCCUCUUAAUGCAUAAGGUGCUCCCGUAUUUUUUACCUCCUGCCUUAGUUCUGGCCUCAAACCUACAGCGAUUAAUUGAUAGGUUUAGAAAGAUUGCCAAGGGAGAAGACCAGCCCGACAACGGUAGUGACGGGCGUAGGGCGGCAGCAGUGUCGAUGAUGAACAAGAACAAUUAACUCCAUUUGAGAAAGAGACGUUGGAUAGUUUUAUUGGGACCACAACAGUCUACUCGAGAUACCACUCCUCGUUUAUUUCGCGAAAAAUUUCGGUUUUAACUAUACUAUUUUUGUUUUUAUUUGAUAAUUAUUAUCUAAUUACGAACUAAAUAGACUUAAAAGAUUCGUCUUGUAAAUUCCAAACAAAAUAUACAAUUAAUUUUUAUUUUCGUAUAUAAUUAAUGCUUGUGACGCAAGAUUGAAUAUGACGAAAAAUUUUGGAAUUUUUUUGGUUUUUAAGGAGGAACUAAACAAUACCUUAUUUUGUUUCCCUUCACUUUCUUUGACGAGAUCUGUCUUCUUUGACCUGCAGGCUACAGCCCCGGCGUUUUCUUUAUCCAUCCAUGCCCUCUCGUAGUCUUGUCUCUCCGCGUCGUAGUCCGCUAAUCCAUUGUUGUCGUACGUCGCGCUCGCCUCAUCUAUGUCACGAUCCGAUCCGUGUUUGUUUGCUUGCGUUUGUUGUUGGCGAAACCAAGAGGGUGCCGGCGUAGAAAAUGCAGCCGCUGCCCCGUAUGUUCCCUCCCUAUUUGCAUCCAUUCGCUCGUCCCUUGAAUCGGUGAAUACAAGGAAAAAAGCUGCGUCUUUCUCGAUCAAUCCUUUUGCUGGCUGUGCAAAGGUCAGAUUCUCUUAACAGAUUUUGCCCGUGAAGUUUCAGCUUAUACAGUCUUUUGUCCACGAUCAUUUUGUGUCUGUCUGUUUCCUUUCUUUUUUGUGCAUACGAUCUAAAGACCCCUUGUCUCUCUCUGUUUUUUUUUCAUCUCACCCCGUUCUCAUAUAUGCACAAGCACAAUUCGAGCUCAGAUUGCUGUGUUCAUUGAUGCAUGGUAGUCAUAGCCUUCUCAUAUAUGCAGUCCUCGCAAAUUAGCCGAUCUUUUUUGCCUUUUUUUUUUAAUAUGGUACCAAUAGUUAUAGUUAUUGGUUAUCGUAGUCAUCUACUAUAUAUCAUAAAUUUUGCUUGAUGGAUUUAUAACAGCCAGUAAUCGAAAGCUUUCUUCACAAAAUUCCUAUGAAAGAAUCAAAUGUUUCUUCCCCUGUAACUCGAAGUUCUGAACAUGUGAAUUGCUCUUGCGUUACAGGUCAGGUCCUCGUAUCUCAUCUCAUGAUAUGAAUUUGCAGUCUUGCCUGUUGUGACUGGAGCGCCUUGUUCAGCAUCUAUGGCACCAUCUUCCAGUACUCUCUCCACGGUUACUACGCAUGGACGUUUUCCUUACUUGACACCACCAACCAUGCAUUCUUCCCUUUCUGGAAUCCUGCCCUCCGACAUGAUAUCCUCCUAUUCUGGACUACAAGAACAACCUUCAGGUGGUAGUUUCUCUGGACUAUCUCUUGAAGCAACCAAUUGUGCAGACCUACUUGGUGAUGGUGUGCAGAAUAACAUUGGCAUUUCCAAUGCUGAGAGUCAGCAAAUUCCUGGUUUUGUCAGAACCAUCGAUGAAUCUGACGAUAGAGAUGAAUGGUUAACAGAUUUGGAUGAUAUUAUUACCACUGAUAUAACUCCGAACUGUCAACAACUGGUAAUGUACCUCAAAAUCAGUAAUGCUAUAUGUUUUCCUUGAUCAUGGAAACUAAAGCUUGCAUUGGGAUUUGCUUGGUUAUAUGUGGCAGCAAACCAUAUAUUUCUAGAACCUCUUCAUGUUAUGUUCAUUUAGGAAUUGGGAUGCCUUAAUCCUUAAGUUGAUAUGUUUCUUUUUUCACAGGCUGAAUCUGCACCUGUUCCCUCAUAUCCAAAUUCUAAGUCAUGGCAACAUGAUGUGCACAUUGUACAUCAAUCAGUCUCAGUUCUUUCUGAACCUCAACAGUUGUAUCCAACUGUUUCUCCUGUGGUAACUACAAAUGCUCAUUGCCCCCAAAGGGCCAAGGCACGCAUGCGAUGGACUAUGGAAAUGCAUGAUCGCUUCGUAGAUGCUGUCAAUCUGCUUGGUGGCAGUGAAAGUAAAAUUUCAGCACUGUGAUCACUGUCAUCGUAUAAAGUACUAUUGGCUUUGUAUUGUAACUAUUAUUCUCUCAUUAUGUUUGAACAAAUGCAGGUGCUAAACCUAAAGCAAUUCUUGAUAUCAUGGAUGUUGAAGGUCUGACUCGUGAUCAGGUGAAAAGCCACUUGCAGGUACUUUCCUUUUUUUUUCCUUUUCCAGCAAAAUUUUUGGUGACACAGAUACUUCGGUUUUAUGGUUUGCUAAUUAAAGGUAACACUCCACACAGAAGUACAAAAUGGCUCAAGUUAAGCAUCACCCAUCUGAAGGUUAGCAAUGGUGCCUGCAAGUUGGAACCAUACUUCCACUUGUUUGAAUACACCCUUCAUUGUUUCCCCUCAUUGUUGGCACUGCCUAUUGGUUUUUUGUAUAUGGUGCAAAAUCCUUUUCUUUUCAAAGAAAAUACAUUUCUCGUAUUCAAGCCACUUAGUUCAUCAAAUUGUUGAUUGCAUUACAGUUACAGGUACAUCAGUGGAGACAACCGUGUGUAACGAAGUAAUACCUUCAGAUGUACAGAAGUGAGUCAUUAUUUGUAUUCCUAUUUCCAUGUGGAAACCUGUUUAGCUUUACUAUUUCUUGUGCAAGUAAGUUCAUAAACAUCAAUGACGCAAACUAAGUUUUUGCAAACUUUCAUUUGGUUGCUUCUACUCUUACCAGUGGAAUGACUGAACCCCACUGAUCGUUCUGUGGCUGGUGUUUUGAGCAGCUGGAUAGUCUCGUUCUUUCAGUAUGCAUAAACUUACAAAAAGGCUAUAUGUCAACCGGUUGAAUCCUGUGUUUGGGUCAACCGAAUUUUGGGCCGUUGGAUCUGCCGCGUGGCUUCAGAUUAGCCUUUGGUUUGUUGUGUGUCUGUCUUUGUGGGUCCAGGUUGUCGGCGCCUAUGUUGAAUUUUUUGGGACUCGCGCCCGAUAGUGGCCGCUCCGUUUUCCCGUUCUCACUUUCAUUUCUAUCCGUCUCGUCUCUCUCCUGUCCUCUCGUCUUCCUCGUUGGCGACGCGACGGGCGAUUUCUAGGGUUUCGCAGGUUCGUCCUUGUUUCUCCCAUCUUGGUUAGUUUUGCUUGGAAGGUGUUAGUUGGUAGGGUUGUGUGGAUGGUUAUUGUUCUUUCGCUUGUGGAUUUUUGUAAGUUUUUGUGUCUGAAUCUCACUUUUUAUGGUGAUGGAUGCGAUGUUCCGUUGUAGUCCUUUUUGUGUGUGCGCGGGCCUGAUUCGGUGGAGUUUCCUUUUAUUUUUGCGAUUAAUUUCAGACAUCGCUAUGUGGUGGAUCGGUGUAGAUCCCUGCUUAAUUUGAGUGUGGGUGUGGCUAUUGUCUGGGGAACUUUCAAAUCCAUAGGAAUGGCGAUGUAGGGGUUGGGUUCAUGGUUCUGUUGUUGAUUUCUGGUUUGAUAGUGUUUGAUAUAGAUAUGGUUUUAGCUAUUAGGUUUUGGGGAUUUUAUUCUGCGGUUUGGUUUUUGUUGGGUUCGCAGCAUGCAGAUUGGGAGCAGCAGGCAUGAGUUGUCUGGUUGUUUCAUAUGAUUGGGGAUUCGAUGCCCCCUUGCUUCUUUAUCUGAAGUGGUUUUGGUUCACUGGUUCAGCCGUUCAGGUCAAAAACAAGAUGAGGAGGAGUACAGAGUACUUCAUUAUCAUGGGGGCAUGCGUUGCAUUGCCUUGGUCAUUGCUUGUUGACUGAGAGCUAACUACCUGCUUGGAUCUUGUUUGCUUAGUGGUUUAUUGUUCAUUAGAUUAGGUUAAUGGAAUUUGUUAGUUGACUGAUUAAUGUUUUUUAGGGUUUGGAUUAAUUCAGGUUAGGCUUAUUGAGGUUAGUCAUGUUUGCCCUUUUUAGAUUGACUGUAAUAGGCACAGUUCUUUUCAAGUAUGGUUUUUAGUAAUUAUAUUGAGUAAUUAUUGUUUUAAGUUUAUUUUGAGAAGGUUAUUACUUAAGAUGUAGGUGAUGCAUUGAAUUGGUUAGUUUUCUUAUUUGUAGUGUGAUCCUGUUUAGUUAUGUUUUUGAUUAAUGCUUUAGUUUUUAUAUAUAAUUUGUUCUUAUUGUUUUUUGGGUUCAAUUUAUGUUUUUAUUUGCUUUGAAGAUGGUUCGGAAAAGGGUGGUUCGAGAACUUGAUUCAUCCAGUUCGGGAGGUUCUGAAACUGAUUCUUCAGAGGAUGUGCAGUGUUCUCAAUUGCCUUAUAUGGAUUAUGAUUCCUGUGAAUAUCUUUCAAAUUCUCAGCUUGUUGGAGAAGUGAGUUAUUUUAAUCUUUGUUUCUUUUAUUUAUUUUGUUUAUGAUUAUUUUAUUAUUAUAUGUUUUAAUGUUUUUAUUCAUUAUUCAUUGUUUUUUCAGGAUGAUUCCUCUAGUGACAAUUCAAGUUUGGACCAUCAUUUGUAUGAGAAAUGUAUAAAAGAUGUAAGUUGAUUUAUAUAUGUAUUUAAUUAUUUGAGUUUGUUAUUUAGAUUUAUUAUAUAUGUUGUUCUAUUGGGUUGCAAUGUAGUAUCAGUAUUGGACAAUUGUAGUAAAUCUCCCUAAAUGUUAUGAUUAUAUUUUGAAUCAAAUCUGUAUUAGUCUAUAUUUAUUUUUUUUAAAAAAAAAUUAGUUGCAGAAAAUGAAGAAUAUGAAGAGAAAGCUUGAGAUGGCAAUGAAGCAUAAGGUUAUUUUCUUAGUUAUUAAUAGUGUUGUUAUUCACUAUUUUGAAUUAGGUAUUUUGCUUACUUUUUUUUUGUUUGUUAUAGUCUAAAAAGAAGAAAGUUGUGAAGAAGAGUAAUGAUGGUUUCACCAGAUUUUCUCCGACUGCAUUCAUGAAUGUGAUAUCUUCUCUUUCCCCUGAAAAGAAGGCUGUUAUUGAUGGCUAUGGUUUUGGUUCUUUGUUGAUGUUCAAUAAGUGUUUUGUGCCUAAUAAGUUUGCUACCUGGGUUGCACGUUUAGUUGAUUCCAAGUCUGGUGAUAUUAUUCGCAAUGGAAAGGUUAUUUCACUAUCUGAGGAGUCUGUUCAUUUCGUUCUUGAUCUUCCUUUGGGUACCAGAGCAUUUCCAUCUGAUUCAAGUAUUGGCAAGGAUAUUGUUUUAUCCAAGUUUGGAAAGGAUAGGAUCCCUCCUGUGUCCUUUUUUGCUGAUAAGUUGAUCAGUAAUGAACAAUUAUCUAAUGAAGACAUGUUGAUAUGUUUCUUGGUAGUUGCUUUGAGUAGUUUUUUAUGCCCAAAUACCAAUAUUGUUCCUAGCCCCAAGUAUUUUGGUGUUUUCGAAGAUAUUGAUCACAUCAAGGAUUUCAAGUGGUGUGCUUUUGUGUUGGAAUGGUUGCUGGAUCAUAUAAAGGCAUUCAAUAGGGGAAAGAGUGAUAAGCUGAAACGUUGUCAGGGUCUUGGUGGUUGCUUAUACUACCUUGUGGUAAGCUGAAAUGUUGUCAGGUUAUUUUUUUGGUAUGUAUCAUUUGGUUUUGUUAUUUAUUUUUAUUUUGUUCAAUUUUUUAUCUUGUCAGGUUGUUUAUUUGGAUCACAUUGACUUUCGUCAACGUCAAGUUGCAGACUUUAUUCCUCGAAUCUCUGUAUGGAAGCAAGAUAUGAUUCAGUUUUAUUGUAGUCUUGAUCUUAAAUCUCCUGGUGUUUAUGGUUACAGACCAUUGCUUGAAUUUGAGAAAACUUGCUACUACAAGGUUAUUUAAGUUCUACUUUGGGUUUUUUGUUUUAUUUGUUUGUUUCGUUUAGUUGAUUUUUGAUUUAUAUUUUUAAAUAAUUUUUCUUCAGGCUGUUCGUCUUAAUUCAGUUGGUUGUGCUGAUGAUCUUGACUCUGAGUUUUGCGCCAAGAUGGAAAGUGUUUCUGGCUGUAAACUUCCUUUUAGUUUGAAGUUAAAAAUAUCAAAGCUGAUUGAUGAGCAUUGCUUUAAUUGUGGUUUAUCUGUGAACAUGGAUAUCAAUUCUCUUGGAAAUGUUUCAAAAGAAUUUCAAGAUAUGUUUGCAAAGAUGUUCCGUCAUAUUUGUAAAACUGAUGUUAGAACAAAGGAUCUUGUUCUUGAGAUUAUGAAGGCUAUUGCUGAAACUGAUCCUUCUGUUGAUGAUGGUGCUGGUUCUUAUGCUGCUGCGGUGCCUCCCAAUGUUGCUGAUUCUAUUUCUGAUGGUGCUCCAGAAGAACCUAAUGUUGUUGCUCCUAAGGUUUGUUUUUUUAGUAUUUUUUCCAUUAUUUUGUUUCUUAUUAAUUAUUUAUUUACUUUAUUAUUUGUCUCAGGUACCUGUGAAUGCUUUUGUUCCAUCUUCAUCAAGAUCAACUCAAAAGAAUGUUGGGUUCUCUGGUACUGAUAAUGUAUGUAAUUACCUUUUUCCUGUGAUUACAAAAUAUUUAUGAAUCUACACUUAUUUUUUUCAAAUCUAUUUUUUUUCAGGUUAUCGAUGUUGAGUUGGAUGAGACUAUGCGUAACCUACGAAAGAGUAAGUUUUUCUGUUGUUGUUUUAUGUAGUUUGUUAACAUCCCAUAAAAUGGUUUCUUUAUUUAUGUCUGAAGUAUUUGCAUGAAUAUUUAAAGCAAUGUUGCUGUUUCAUAUGUUGUUGUCAGGUUAUUUUGUUUUGUAUUUAGUUUUGUAUGUAGAAGGCAUUCAUUUAGUAUAGAUUUGAAUUGUUUUUGUAGUUUUUGUACAUGUUGUUAUUGUUUUUUUUAUCUUUUUUGUAGGUAGCUCAGAUGUUCUAAGUCAAAAGUUCAAGUCUAAGCCUGGUGUUACGAAUGUUGCUGUUGACAACCCAUUGUGUGAUAUUACUAAUGUUCGUUCUCGUUUUGGUUCUCGUGGCAAAUCUUCUGAUUUAGAUAAAGAUGUGAUUUAUCUUGACAAUGAUAAUGUUAUUGUACCUGAUUCUGUUUCUCCAAGUCCUUUUCGUCAUCGUUCUAGACUUGCAUAUUCUAAGGUAAUUUUUUAUAAUCUCCUAUUGAUUUUUAGCCUUUUUUAGGAUCGUGACAUUUUAUUUACAGGUUUCUCAAGGUAUUUUGCAUGGAUCUCAGAAUACCAAAGAUGAGGUUAGUUUGUGAUUUGAUUCAUAUAUUUUUAUUGAAUCAUUUUGUUGUACCUUGUGAUUAUUUUUCAAUUUCAUAUUUUUGUUUUUUUGUAGGAUGUUGUGUUGAUGCAGACUAUACCUUUUACUGUUGAUGGAUCUCCUCAUAUUACUCCAAUUCUACCUAGGAAGUCUAAUGUUUUACAUAGUAGUAAUGGUUCUGAUAAGAGGGCUCGUAUUUCUGAUCAUAAUGUUAGUUUUGUUAUUUGUUUAUUUUUGGUUUCUUGUAUAUUUUUAUUUUUUUGUUUUAUUGGUUCUUAACAUGUGUUUGAUGUUUAAUUUUUAGGAUUCUUCCCCAGUUAUUUGUAUUGGUUCUAGAUCGUUUGCUGAAACUGUUAAAGUUGACACUAAGAAAUCAGAUGAUUUAUACAACUUGAAGUUUGGGAAAUUGAGAAUGACUUCACAGACUUCUUCUAUUUCCCUUGGCAAUACUCAUGGAUUUCCUGCUGAUUCUUCUAUUGAUCCUGAAAGCUUGGCGAAUCGUUCUGAUUUCAAGGUCAGGAACUCGUCAACUGGUGGGAAGAUCCCUAUUCAUGGUCCUAGAAGGAUGGUUCGUCCAAGUCGAGUUCUUAUAGAUGAUUAUGAUGUAACUGGAGAUAAGUUCAAAGUUUCAAAAUCAGAAAUUGCAAACUAUGAGGCUAUUUGUCGUUUGGCCCAAUCACGUUCUAGCAAGUAAUCUUCUUUUUCUUUGUGACCUUUUAUCUUGUGCUUUGAUAAUUUUUGUAUCUAUAUCAUUUAGGUGAGUAGUGCUUUUUUUCUGUUUUAUGUAGUCUUGAUGCUUUGUACUUUGGAGGUGUUCGUUGUACGUAUUGGUCUCUUGGUGAAUCAAUGAAGCCAGGUGGUAAAGUCAACAAUUUUGUUGUUGCUGCAUUUUGCUAUCAUCUUUUUUGCCGACCUGAUGGGCAUCCAGAUAUUUCGAAGCGGCAUUACUUCUUUUCAAAUAUCUCAGUAAGUUUUUUUUGUUACUUCAAAUAUUUUUUGUUUUCAUAUGUUCUUAUUAUAUUUUUUUCUAAGGAAAAUCUCCUGAAAGAUCAUGAUGAAGUUGCCGGUGAUGUGAUGAUGAGAGCAUUUGAUCGUUCUUCAAAGGCGAGGCCACUUUUUCAAUCAAAUAUGGUAUGUUAAUCUUACUAACCUAUUCUAAUUAUCAAUCAUUCUUUUUUUGUUGUCAAUUUUACAUUUUGAUUUUUAAAUGUGUCAUUGUUUCCGCAGUUGUAUUUCCCUACAUUUUAUGAAGAUCAUUGGUUUGUAUUUGUUGUUGACAUCAAGGAUAAGAAAUUUGUGUUUCUGGACUCAUACUAUUCAGAAGUUCACGCUUAUCAGCAAUAUGUUAGGGCGAAGAUGGUAAUAUUUUUUGUCUUUGGCUUUGUUUAUUCUUUUAUUUCUUAAGUUUUGUUCAAUAUAUUUUGUUACUUUGCUCCAGAUCCCAGAGUUUCAAUUUUGGUGGAACAAGUUUGUUAAGCGUGAAAUGAACUUUGAACAGUAUGGUGUUCUAUACCCAAGUGUGCCUAAGCAAUCUGCAGAAAAUAAGUAUGUUUCUUUUUCCUAUUACUUUUGAUUUGUUUGAUUUUUUUCUUAUUUUUAUUUUAUAUUAGAUAAUUGAAUUGUUUUUUCUAAAUUUAUUAUGCAGUGUUGAUUCAGGAAUUUAUGCUAUGAUGUUCCUCGAGCAUUGGACUUCUCCAAGGUCAAGUCUAUUUUCCCUGUUCAGCAGUGAUGACAUUGUAAACAUAAGGAUCAAAUUAGCAAAUGAGAUGUUGUUCAAUCCAAGAAAUACCGGAAACAAGACCCCUGUGAUUAGUUUUGACUUGAAUGAGGUAUUCUACUGGCUCUGUACUUUUAUUUUUCCCAUUUUCUUACUCUUAAUUUAUUAUAUUUUUUAUUUGUUUUUUUACAGGAAGGUGGUUCAGAGUAGCUAUUGGGCCAUUUUUUUUGUUUUAGUCUCAUCAAACUUUGUUCGUAGUUUGUAUAGGAAUUCAUAUUCUGUCUCGACAUUCGAUAUGCCAAUGAUGUAUGUCGCGAAGUAGUACUUUUGGAAGUGCCUUACAAUAUGCUUGUGCUGUGUUGCACAUCAUAGUAAUUGUUACAUAUGAUAAGUCUAAUACUAUAAUACAUAUUGCUGAUAUUGUUCGUGUCUUCUUUUUCUUCUUUAUAUUGUGAUGGUCUUCACUUCCUUGCUUUCUCCUUUUGGGUUUUGAUCGCCUCUAUAUCAUUGUUGGUCUUUGUUGACUUCUUGAAUCUCUUGGAGUUUGGCUUCACUGGUGAUCCUGUUAGGUUAAAAGUUAGUAUACAACAAUGGUAAUUUAAAUUGAAAGUGAGCACAUUUAAAUAUGUUAACAGGUAAUAUGGCAACUUAGUAAAAUAGAAAUUGAAAAGUAGCAUGAAAAUGCAGAUCUAGUAGCUGACCUGAUAAUUUGAUUAUGAAUGUUUUUGUUUUAUGCAUUUUGUGUCUUAUAUAUUUAAAUUGCAAUAUGUUAGCAAUGAUAUGGAGUUGCUGUUAUAUAUGGUACCAGAAUUUUCAUUUGUUGUUUGUUUCUUCUUCUUCUUGUUUUCUUUUUUCUUUGCCUUUUCUUUUGCUUCUUCUAUAACUGCUUUCAUUCUCUUUGGUUUCUCUGGCCUGCCCUUGUUUUGUAUUCUUUCUGGGUCCUCUAACUGGUUCUGUGUAUAAUUGUCUUCAUAUGCUUUGAGUCCUUGUGUUUGUACUUGUUCAUCUGCUAUAGGUUCACUUUGUGUUUCUCCAAUGCUUUUUGGUGCUAAUAACUUGUCCAGGUGCAAGUUGAUCCUCUCCAUUUCUGCUACAAGGUAAUCUGUUGCUUCUUCUGUCUUAGCUGCCUUUGAAUUCAUUGCUGCUGAUUUCCUCGAUAGUACAUUGAAUCUAAGCAAUGAAUUUGUUGCAAUUGUUGUUUCCUCUACUCUUUUCCUGAUCAAUCUCAUGUCCUUUUUUCUCCAUCUAUCUAUUAUAUACUUAUCUGGUAUUGCACUAAUUUCCUUCUCUAUCAUGAUUUUCAGGAUAUGGGAGCAUAGGAUUCCGUCUUUGCUGAAUUUGGCACAUAUGCAACUGAAGUCUUCAUUCCCUUGUGUGAGGUUAGUUAGUACUAUGUACCUCCUAAUUCGUUGUGCCUUGUACACUUGGUUACUUCUUUGCCAGACUUCGAAUUGCUUCCCUUCUUCGAUUUCCUUGUAAGUUAGAGUUGAAGUAGCUUGUAGUUGAAUUUGAAACUUCUUGUAAAUAUUCCUGUUAUAUAACUCUUGUGCUUGUUUCUCAAAUGUGUACCCAUACAAUAGUUCCUUUGGUCUUUUUUGGUUGCUAUAGUGGUCCUCUAGGUUCUCUGCUCUCUCAAUGCUGUCCACUAUGCGAUCAUACUCUGCCACAAAGCUGUUAAUACUAUAGGUUGGUCCAACAUUCUGUUUGAAUCUAGCAUUUGUUGCUUCACUUCUUGAGGUGCUUUGGAUGAAAGGGAAGAAAUCAUUUUUGUAGUACACAGGUAUGAAUCUUUUUCUUGUUUCCCACAUUUUUGUCAAGUACUUGUUGUUCUCUAAGCCUCUUUCCCUGAUCAUCUCUCUCCACAAGUUCUCAAACUCUUCUUCUGUGACAGAGUUGUUCACUAUGUCUUCAAAUUCCUCAUAUAGGCCAUCAUUAGCUGCAAAAACUUUAAUGUUCUUCGAGUAGCAUUUGGUCUUGAUGUGGAAAAGGCAAUUUCUGUGCCUUGUGUUUGGCAUCACUUCUUCUAUUGCUGUCUUCAUAGCUUUGUCUUGGUCAGUUAUUAUAGUUUGUGGGUGUUUGCCUCCCAUGGAUUCUAGGAAUGUCUCAAACAGCCAUUUGAAAGUUGCUAUUGUUUCAUCUUUUAGGAAAGCACAUCCAAAUAUACAUGUCUGUGCAUGUCCUGUAAUUCCUACAAAAGGUGCAAAUGGCAGUCGGUAUCUGUUUGUCAUAUAUGUUGUGUCGAAGCUCACACAAUCUCCAAAGUCUGCAUAAUAUUUUAGUGAUGAUCCAUCUCUCCAAAAAAUAUUUUUCAUUCUAUUUUCAUCAUCUAGCUCAAAUUUGUAGAAGAAUGUUGGAUCUUCACUCUUCUUUUUUCUGAAGUUGUCUAGCACUUUGGUCAUAUCUGUUCCUUUAAUUUCUCUAUUAAUCUUUGUUCUGAAGUUGCUGAUAUCCUUUUUCUUCACUGGUAAUGCUGUGGGUCCUCCUCUGAGGUAUGAUAUUAUAGAGAUCAUCUGUCUUGUUGCAAUGUUAUUGUCAUUCAGAGUCCUUAUAAGUGACUUCUCCAUAUCAGUCAUAUAUUUAUGACCACUAAACUGUUGGUUGCUCUGUCCAGGGUAGAGUUCAUGAUUGUGAUCCAAAUCUAAUCUAAUGAUCUUCCAUAUGUUAGCGUCUUCUUUAAUGACCAUAACACAUUGGCAGUCUGUUUUCUCUGCUAUAUUUGUCUUCCUUUUCUUACCUUUCAUUUUUCCUAUAUCUUUGUCCACUUCACCUUCCUGCUCCUCUGUAGUUUUCUUCUUUGGUGCUUUACCAUAUCUAUGACACUUUAUUGUGAGUUUGGUGAUCUCAUUGUUUCUUUUCUUGCUUGUAGUUCUUGCAACAUGUGCUACUACUGUUUGAAACCCAGCUAGCCAUGCAUAGAAGUUGAAGAAGUGUUGAGCUUGUUCUUUGUUCUCAAAUUGCAUUCCUAGCUGUGGUGUAUACUUGCUAUUGAUUUCUGAGUUGUUCCCUUCUGAAGCUGCUAUCUGUUCUCUCAUUAUAAAUUCAUCUAUCUCUUGUUCUGUUAGUAGCUGGCUACUGUUGCCUUCUGUAGUGUCUACUUCUUCAGGUGGUUCAUGUUGUGUAUUUGAUGAUUCUGCCAUUGUUUUUGUUAGGUCUGAUGCUGCACUUGACAAAUCUUGUUGCUCAACCUCUUCAGCUUCUUGGAUCCAUUGUAGUUGCAUGUUACUGAAUAGUCCAUUCUGCCAUUGACUUUCUUCAAUCUUAGUUGAGUAGUUUUCAUCCCUGUUGCUAAUGUCAUUGUCCUGCAUAUAUUAUUAUAAGAAGUCACUGUUUUUGGUUUUCUUUCUCAUGCUAUAUUUUUAUAUGUACUAUGAGUUGAUGUAUGAAUAUUCUUACCUGAUGCUCUGAAAAUGAGUAGUUGACAUCAUUGUUGUCUCCAGGAUUGCUGUUUAUAUUCUCCAUGGUCAUCUGCAAAAUUGAUUUAUAUGUCAAUCAAGGUAAGUUUCUUUUUUGUUUUUUGUAGUGAGUGUAAUAUUUAUGUUUUAUGGUACCUCUUGUCCUUGUGGUGCAUUAGAUAUUUCAUAUUCUUCUCCUGUACAAAAAUUUGAAACUGGUUUGUGUAGAUCCAAAUUUCCCUGCAUUAAUUAGCAUAUAUGAUUAUGGAUGAGUUACUAUUUUUAAUAUAGUUUUUGAAUUUUGUAUAUGUACAAUUGUCAUAUAAUUUACCUGAUAGAUAUCUGGACCAAACAACAUUCUUGUAUAUGAUCCCUGCAAUUCCUGAGAAAACUGAAAUAUGAGGCAAAAAUAUUUAUAUUAGCAAUGCAAUGAAUUUACAAUAUUAAACAAGUUGUAAGUUAUUGAAUUUGGGACUGUAAUGAAAAUACUUCUUCUUGGGAGUUCCUGAUUUGCUCCAUUAGUAGACCUGUUAAGCUUUCCUGCUAAAAUUUAAAACAUAAUUAUAUUUUUUAUUUUCUAUUUUGUCAUGUUAUUAAUUUAUAUCUAUAUUAUGGCUAGGAAUAGAGUUUGGUCUUACCAUGUUUAUGCCUUGUAAAUGAUGGAUGUAUGGAUUGAAUUCUGUCAUUCUAGAUCUCUCAUCUUGUGUAAUAUUUGUCUCUUUUGAUGUUCCAUCUUGUGUCUGUAUUCAAUAAUUGAUCUGCUAUAUAAGCUGUUGGUAGCUUAUUUUUUUUGUUUUGAAUAUGUAAAUUUGGUACCUGGAAGUUGUACAUCUGGACAAUGUUGUCUUCACAUUCGUUGAUUGGAUGCCUUGAAGAUGAUUGUUCAAAUCCCAUCAUUGUAAGGUAUGCAAAUUGUUCCUGCAUUUAUUAUGUAUAAAUGAGUUUUAUACAGUAUUUCAUCCUUCUUUUUAGAAUUUUAAUGUUUGAGAAGUUACCUGCUCUUGGUUGUCUUGUAUUGAUGUUGCUUUAUGUUUGUCCUUGUUUCUAUCCCCCAUUUGAUUCUGCAAUCAACAUAUAUUUAAAAGAUGUUAGACAAUAUAGUAAUGUAGAUAAGUAAUUCUGAAAUUGUUAUUCACUUUUUGUUAAUUUUCUGGUAUCAUAAUGAUUUUAUUGAUGUUUCUAGGUUUGUUUUAGUUGAAAGAAGUGUUCUUCACAAGGGUUGCUAGGGAACUUCGUUUCAAUCUUUAUGUUGUUCUAUUACAGAUUGCUUACCUGUGCUUUGUCCCCAUCUUUUUGUAGGUGAAGCUGCGUGGAUUGAUCUGGAGGUUCCAUGCUUCUUCCUUCCUUUGAGUCCCGUAGUCAGAUCCUCCUUCAAUUGAGUCCUCUCGUUAGAUCUGCUUUUUGUGGUUGGUACCUCUCGAUAAGGUUGCUCUGUAGGGGCAGGUAAGUAUCAUUUUUUCAUUUUGCCCCUUCUCCUUUUUACAGAUGCUUUUUGACCUUCUUGGAGGGCAAGUUUGUUCUUUUUAUGUUUUGCCCCUUCUCUUUGUUUAUUGGGCUUUCUUUUGGGCUUUUGUCCAGUACAUGGCCUUUUAAGACCUUUUUGGCCUUUUUUUGUCAGUUACCUGUUGGUGGUUCUGCAUUUACUCCCUCCCUGACGUAUUAACUGGUCUCACCCUUCACCCUUCCAUCGGAUCUCACUCUCCAUUUGGUCUUCCUGAAUUUACUCCUAGGGUAUGGACCGUUUCCCUUUGCUGUUUUUGUGCACGACCAUUUGUAUGUGCGUUUUGAGUCCCAUUCCCUUCUUUAUAAAUUCUUUGCCUUCCUCUCAGAGUAUUCUUGUUGUCUUCUGUAGCCUUCUUCUUUGUUGUUCUCCAUCUUUUCUGGACCCUGCAAGUAAGUGUUUAGAUGAAAAGUAUUCUUUAGAUCUUACAUGUGUUUCUGAACUAGUUGACAUUUAAUCUUUUCGUUCUUGUUUUGUUCUUCUCUUUUUUUUAUUCUAUUCUCGGGGUUCCAUUUUAUUUUAUUUUCUUGUGGUUUCAUUUCUCUAUAAUUACUCGAUUGUUGAAGUAUUUUUUAUUCUUUUAUAUAUUUUUUUCUUUGAGAUCUGAAAUCAUUUAUUUUUCUAUUAUUUUGAUGCAGUUCUAUUUGCUCAAGGUUAAGUGUUGGUUAUCUAUUGUGGAAGGUAUGUUUUAAUUUGCUGUUUUCUAUGGUGUGAUGUCAUAAUUCAUAGUUUUGUGUGUUUUUUUUUUCAAUUGUGCUUAAUGGUCUAUUGUUUAGAUAACUGGGGUUACUGAUAUUGUUUUUUUAUUUAGAUGGCAACCACUGGUGUCUUUGAAAGCAAGGAAGUUUCUGAUUAUGUCAUAGAUGUUCUUGGUUUGACUCCUGGCAAACAGUCUCGUCUAAUAGCUGUUAAGUUUAACAAGGUUGUUGCUGAUCCUGUGUCUACUGUUGCNNNNNNNNNNNNNNNNNNNNNNNNNNNNNNNNNNNNNNNNNNNNNNNNNNNNNNNNNNNNNNNNNNNNNNNNNNNNNNNNNNNNNNNNNNNNNNNNNNNNNNNNNNNNNNNNNNNNNNNNNNNNNNNNNNNNNNNNNNNNNNNNNNNNNNNNNNNNNNNNNNNNNNNNNNAAAAAGCAGUGUCUCGGGCUUCGCGCAGACUACCUGGCACAGCAAUAUGUGUAAUGAUAAAGAUGGUCUUGUUUAUGUUCUAGUUCCCUUGGAACAUAUUCCUUUUCGUCUUCGCAAGUGGGUUAUUGGAGUUGGUGAUAUUGUUGUUUCAGUAUUUGAAGUUCAAAGUAUUUCAUACAGGAGUGGCUCUUGCAAAGCUUUUAUGGAUAUUCCAAUAAGGAUCAAGGUAUGCUUUUUUAUUAUUAUGUCUUUUGUUACCAUUUUUUGAUUGUUUUGUUGUUUUAAUUCCUAUAUUUAUUUUACAAAAUUUUUCUAGGUUGUUUCUGCAAAAAAUUCAAUUGUUCGUGAAGCUGCUGUACCAUUUACUUUAGUAGAUGAAGAAGUCUCUUUAUUUGUUGUGGAUAAUCUGGAUUUAGAUGUUGGAGAUCAAUCUCAGCUUAUUGCUGCUAAAGGUUUGUGCAGUGGUAACAUGCUUAAAUUAGUUGCUCGUGUGGUGAAGCAGAAUCGUGGUCGUGAGUUCCUUUCUGUGUAUAAGUUUGCCUAUGAUUCGAAGAAUGCCACGGUGUAUGUCAAGGUAACUGGAGAAGAGGAUGCAAAUUUGAUGGCUGGUAGAUCAUUUGAGGUUGCUGGUGAAAAGAUGUCUUUCUAUCGUGUUUUGAGUAUUAGUGUUCGUCCAGUAGAAGAAGACUUAUAUCAGAGUGAAGAUUGCCGCCAGAUUUUUCCUUUCUAAUAUUUUUGUCGAGUAGGAUGGCUUUUUAUGUUAUGAAGAACAAUAUGUUUGAAGUUAUGUAUGUGGAUCUUAUUUUUUUACUGUUGAGUUAUGUUUGUAAUAAUUUGAACAAGUUAUAAUGUUGAGUUAUGUUUGUACCAGGUCACCAUCUUUGCCCUAAAGUUCUUUUCAAAUGCUUUUGUUGAUAUUGUUUUUCAAGUUUUGAAAUCUGUUUUAGUAUUUGGUCCUCUCUGAUUUUUAAUGAUUAGAGAUCAAAUAAUGUUUCAACUAUAUACAAUUGGAUCAGGUUAUGCAAUUAAAUAAUUACUAUGUUUCUUUAUUUUAGUUUUUGGUCCUCUCUGAUUUUUAAUGAUUAGACAUCAAAUAAUGUUUCAACUACAUAAAAUUGGAUCAGGUUAUGCAAUUAAAUAUUUGGCAAAUGCUUGGUUUUACAUUGUCUUCUAACUAUGUUUACAGUUUUCUUCUUUGGUAUUUUACAUUGAAUAUUUCGGUGUAAAUGUUUGUACAUCUUAAUGUAAAUUUGUUAUUGUUUAUUUGUAAAUUUAUUUUAUGAUUUUUGUGUAGUAUGUUUUGUUUUGUUUUCUGACAUCACUAGCUGCUCAGUCUCAUUGAUCAGUUAAAACCAAUCAUGAAUGGAUUUGGAACUUUUGCUACUGUAAUUUUGGUUAAUUUUUGCUUCAUUCUCUGGUUGAUCAUAGUUCUAUAUUUUGCAGCUAUUUGCUCAUUAUAAGUAUUGCACAAGCCUCAUUUGGAGCUUCAACUUGUCUGUUCUUGUUCUUAACCGAGUUUAUGAAGGCUAUUCAUUCUCAUUGUUCGGGUUAGAUUCUUUAUGCUGCUGCUUCAUCUUCCCUUCAUUUCGAUGGCACAUAUGCUUAAAUUUUGGUAUGCUUCACCUUAUGUUGUCUUAUACUCUUAUUUGAUCGAAAUGAUCUAUGUAUUGUGUGCAUUUGUAUAUAGAAGUUUACUUUAGCUCUUCAAAUUAGUUUCUCUUCAGAUCUGGGAAGUCAUGAAAGAUUUGGUGUUGAUUUGAAAAGGACUAGUGUUUUCAGUUUUUUUCCUUAAUUAUGUAUUGUUGGUCAUCUCUGAUUUUUAAUGAUUAGACAUCAAAUAAUGUUAUGCAAUUAAAUAUUUGGCAAAUGCUUGGUUUUACAUUGUCUUCUAACUAUGUUUACAGUUUUCUUCUUUGGUAUUUACAGUGAAUAUUUCGGUGUAAAUGUUUGUACAUCUUAAUGUAAAUUUGUUAUUGUUUAUUUGUAAAUUUAUUUUAUGAUAUUUGUGUAGUAUGUUUAGUCACCAUCCUAAAGUUCUUUUUAAAUGCUUUUGUGAUAUUGUUUUUCAAGUUUUGAAAUAUAUUUGAGUAUUUGGUCCUCUGUGAUUUAUAAUGAAAAUAAUGUUUCAUCCAUAUACAAUUGGAUCAAGAUAUGUCAUGUAAGCUUAUGUCAACUAUAUUUUCAAGUGUAUUACUGUUCUAUAAUUUUUCAUUUACAGUGAAAAAUUUACUGUAAAUGUUGUGACAAUGUCAUGUAAAUUUGGUAUUGUUUGUUUGAAAUUUAUUUUUGUUAUUUGUGAAGUAUAUGGCAAUUAUUAUGUGUAUUUGGCUCCCAUAGAAAACAUUUGGGUUUUUGUAAAUUUUUUUUGUUAUUUGAUUGUAUCAUAUGAAAAAUCUUUUGGAUUUUGUUAAUUUUAUUUCUUUCUGAUUAUCUAUAUUUGAAGUAUGUAAUCAUAUGAUUUAUGUCUGUCCGUUAGAUGUGGAUCAGUUGAACUAAAAUUCGGUUGAUUUGAUGUCUUUAUUCAUUUGAUUAUGGGUGUGUUCAGAAUUCGGUUGAUUUGGCCUUAUUCAUCAACCGAAUGAUAGAAUAGACCAAAUCAACCGAAUGAGUGGUAGACAAAUCCUAAACUUAUGAAGUGUUCAAGAUGAAAACACUUAUUGUAAUGUUCUGUGACACGAUAUACUAUGGAUAUAUAGUUAGUUCCAUAAAUAAAGAAAAACAUGUAUAUGCAAUUGACUGCAUUUCAUUCUAAACUCCCAUGCCUUUUGAAGACUAAAUUGCUCGAAACUUUGCCUCUGUAUGACAAUUCAAGUUUUAUUCGGCAGACACAUCCAAGAAUAUGCAUUACAGGUGCAGGUAGAAUUUCAGAAGAAACUUCAUGAUAUGGUAGAGAGGACACUACUGGAGGUACACCGCUUACCUUGAGUUUGCUUUGAAUGUUAAUCUCCCGUUACAUUUUGGUAUACAUAAGGCUCUAUAACAAAGCGUGAUGUUUUUUACUCUGAAAACCAACAUGAUCUCAAAACCAACAUGAUCUCAUUCGCCAAUGCAUUUCUGUCCUUGCUGUGCCAUAGAUUCAUAGAAGCCUACUCGAGAACCAUGUGCUGAGUCUCCACGAGCUUGAACAGCGGCGGACGGAACGUCGCACGUUGCAUCCUCUUCCCGUCCCAGCCCCAGCAGCCUUCCAAUGGUCAGCUGCUGCUCUGUCGGCGGGGGGUUCCAGACGGGUGCGCGGCGAGCCAAGCAACACUGCGACGCCGGAUGAUGAGGGCGGUCUGGCCAAUCAGGGAACAGAGGCUGGCUCGCCUGGCAAUGAGGAAGGAGCAUGACUGCAUGACCCUCGUCUGCUGAUCGAGGCUUCAAUGCCUGUUUCUGGACGGUGUUCCCUUUUUUUUCGCGUGUAAAUUUACAGUAUGAUGAGUGAAAAUGGUGAGGACAAGAAACGGCAAAGCUUACGUGCCAUCAGUUGGUGCUUUGGUAGUAUAUCUCCAGAACACUGUGAUAAGAAUCUGUGUGUGAUGCUCUGUAGAAUCAUCUUUUCUACUAGUACUGGAAUUUCACUCCACAUGUAAACUACAGGCCACCUUGAAUAGCAAUGUAAAAAUAGGUCGUAGUUUCAACCUGUGGAAAGUAGGAUGCCAGUAGGGAAAGGCUAUCAAGAGAGGUCACUGAAAGUUGCAAUGAAGCCUAACUGGAUUGGUUUCACUCCUAUGCUACACGCACGCAGCACGCUACACUUUUCUGCUUCAAGCAGAGUAGCAGACGAUGACACGACAACUGCAUAACUUCCGUCUUCACUCUUCUGCUAUGAACUUGACAGCAACUUGGGACAACUAAAAAAGUGUUACAAUCCAAGAAUCUUUUCAAGUUGCAUCUCCUGUUAGCUUAUUCGAGCAAUCUAGCAAAGGAAACACAGGAUGCCUGUGAUCUAUAUGCAUAAGCGGCAAUUAAAACAGGCUGUGAAGUUGCAUCUCCUGUUCAUAUGACAAUGGUUUGGGGUUCAGUGCUUUUGUACUUGGAAGUUUUCUUUCAUCACCAAAUGGUAAAAAGUAAAAAAAAAAACAAUUUUGAAUGUUGUCUUAAACACAGUGCGGCCCUAAUAUAACAAGCCAGGCCAGUGCUAAAAUCAAGAUUAAAUGCUCUAGAACAAAAAAAACAGCAGCUAUCAAGUGUCACAUUGUAAUAACUGAAUGACUAAUGCCUCAUUUUUACUUCUUGGAAGUCUAGAUGGGGAUCAGCAGACCAUCUAUUAUAAACUACCACUACGAAUUAUUGCUACUUGAAUCUAGAUAACAGAGCCUAUGCGGAUUUCAUGGCGUGGUGAGGCCAAUCUCACUGUUUUUCGCCGGCUCGAUGCUGCUGCCACCAUGGUAUCUCUUCCAGGGCUUGUAGUCCUUCCUUUCCAGCAUCCGCUCCACUUCCUCGAACUGCAGGCCCUUGGUCUCCGGCACGGUGAGGAAGACGACGAUGAGAGCCAGGAAGGAGACACAGCAGAAGAGGAAGAAUGUGGCCGAUGUCCCGAGCGCCUUGGUCAGGGACAGGAACGUCUGCGUCACGAUGAGAUUGGAGACCCAGUUGGCGACGGCCGCGAUGCCGCCGCAGAUGCCCCUGAACCGCAGCGGGUAGAUCUCCGAGUUGACGAUCCACGGCACCGUGCCCAUGCCGGGCGAGUAGGAGACGAUGUACGCGCCCAGGCCGAUCAGCGCCAGCCACCCGAAGUUGUUCGGGCACCCCUCCGUGUAGAACUCACGGCGAUCCGCCCGGCACGCAUGCCGAGACGCGUCGUUCAGCACCAAGCACGCCCCCGGAAGAAGCUGCAACUCCGACGAGAUCGUAAGCGAUUCCGUUAAGAUGAACGUGCAGCAACAUUGCAGGCAAGAACAAGAAAUGGUGCACUUGCCUCGUCUCCCUGGUGAGCACAGAAGCCGCACGUGGACGCGGCCUUGAGGCAGUUCAUGCAGCUCCAGGGGACGUUUGGGUUGAACUCGGGACACGCCUGGGUCUGGUUCGCCAGCACUCGGGUCUCCACGUCGCUGACGGGUGGGGCGUGGUGCGCGGCGCCCAGGAACGUGCCGCCGAGCACGGCGAGCCACACGACGAUGCCGACCAGGCUGAUCAGCAUCAGGCGCCUCCGGCCUGCCCUGUCCACGAAGAACAUGCUGACAAUGGAGCCGAUGGCGUUCAGGCCCGAGGUGAUGAGGGACAGUGCCAUGGCUGUGUUGUUGGACGCAUAGCCGGCCAGCUGCACGAUCGUCGGGCUGUAGUACAUGACGGUAUUGAUGCCCACGAACUGCUGCGCGACCUGGACGAUGACGCCGGCCAAUAGCCCGCGGCGAACGACCUUGCUGCCCAGCGCCUUCCUCAGCUUGCCAAUCAGUCCCUGCUCGCCGAUGGAGCCCUCAAGGAGCACCUCUUCUUCAACAGACAGGCGCAUUGCGUCAAUCUCUUGCUCGACCUCAUUCGCAGGGUAAAUCUUCUGCAAGAUUGCUGCAGCUUCCUCUUUCCUGCCCUGUUCGUUUCACCAAGAAAAUACAAAUUGUCAGUAUGUUCCUUCCCUUUUGCAGCAUAAUCCUUUCCUCGUGUUGGAAUGCAACAAAGACUCACUACAUUAUGUAACUAUCUGUAAGGUACAGGCAAAAGGGUGGUAUUAGAAUCCUAAGUAAUUCUUGCAUACGAACUACUUUUUGUACAAAAAUAGUACUAUCAACCUUCCUGUAGAGCCAUCUUGGUGAUUCUGGAAGCAUCAGCAUCAGUACGAAUUGGACCAGGGCAGGAACCCCUGCAAUGCCAAGCAUCCACCGCCAGGUCCCCGGCACCUGACACAGGUAAUGGUUGUAACAUCAAUUAUUUCUUGCAGAACAAUGUUUUCUAAACUUGUAGAAGAUCACAAGAGUUGAUGUCUAGUUAAGUUAGUACCUUAGUGAACGCUAGAUUAAUGAGGUAUGCCAAGAACUGGCCACCAGUGAUGAGAAGCCCGUUGGUGCUCACUAGAGCACCUCUGAUUCUAGCAGGGGAGGCUUCAGAGAUGUACAGAGGAGCUGUCAUGGAUGCCAUCCCAACACCAAGACCAACAAAUACCCUCCCAACAAUGAUAACAUUAGGUGUUGGGGAAAAGGCCAUGAUUACGGCGCCUGCAAAGAACAAGGCAUCGGCAAUUAUGAUGGAAGGCCUCCUUCCAAAUUUGUCAUUCAUCCAACCACCAAAUGCAGCUCCAACUAUAGCUCCAGCAACAGCCAUACUGACUAUUGUCUCCUGUUAUUUGGAAUAAAUCGUGAGUCUGUGACAUCACAUGUCAGCGUAGCUAGAAUGUUUUUGUCUGAAGAAAAGGUCAGAUGAACUGAAGUUAAACUAGAUCCACAGUGCAUGAAAAGGGACAUAUUGACACAUACCCUUAAUACAGUGCUCUUUUCCACUGCAGCAAAAUCAUCUCUAAUGUAGAGAAGGGCUCCAGAUAUGACACCUGGCAAAUAAAAUGUUAACAGGGUAAUAAAUCAAACAGCUAAACUCCACUUCUGGAUUAAUAUCAUCAUGACAGUUGUAAAUAAAAAGGAAAAUUUCUGGAUCAUUUUCUUCAGAAUUUCAAGGUGGUGGAUAAAAGUUAAAAGCAGUUCCUCUUGAUUUCUUCAAUAAUGCCAAGAAAGAAAUAUUGACAAAUUGGUGAUUUAUAGUUUAAACUUGAAACUAGAAUAUUUUAUCCAUCAUUGAGUAUAUAUGCAUGUUGUUUGGCAGGUUUAUUGUAUUUAGACACAGUAACAACAUCUGAAUUGUGAGAAAAUAAAUCACAGGAAUGGAUUGAAACAUCUAUAUACCAGCUAUGGUUACCAGUUAUUAUACCACAACUAAAUGUCUUUAUUUAUUGAGAAGUCCAACAUCAAUCUAACUUGUCAUGUUCAAGUACCUGUAUCAUAUCCGAAAAGAAGACCACCGAUGCCAGCAGACAGCACAAGCUGAAGGAUGUAAGGCUGUGUCCAGGACAGCCGCAGGCACUCCUUGAAUUCUGCCUUAUCUGCUACAGUCACACCGCCCUCCAUUGAUAUCCAACUUGGUGUAGGUACUCGGCCACACACUUCACUGUAUCGGUAAAACAGCCAAACAGGAAUUCACUGGAGUUGACACGAACAAACAGGCUUUAGUAAGUUGUGCUGGAAGUGCAGAUUACGACGGUUCAGUAAACCAAACAUCAGGACUCUUUUUAUGGACGUAUAAUAACAUGCGAAAUUCUGAGCAUCACGAUCAAUCAGAACAGGCUGAAACAGAAUCUGGAAACGGUGGCUGAAAAUCUCUAUCGAGAUGAAAAGAGGGAAUCUUAUAAAGAUGCUUUUACAUGUAAAGACAAAUGUAAUGUAGGCAUGUUACAUGUAGCCAAUAGCCAUAAUCCUAUCUUUUGGAUGCCAAAAGCAGCACCCUCUGCAUUGCAGAGAACUAGCAUCUUGUAGCCACAAACCAUAAUCGCGGAAAUAGUUCAGACUUCAGAGUGGCGUGAACUUACCCAACCGUGGCGAAAGGUAUAAACGAAAUCUAAGGCAAUAUAGAGGAUUCAGGGUUCAUGCAGACGGGUAAAAAAGGGAAAACAAAAAUCAGACGAAAUCUCGUAUAGCGAUACGAUCUUCUUCGAUCGCAAACCAACAGACCGAUUCUUAUGGAAAGGUAUGAUCUGCAGAGGGAACGCACACUGACCCCGGAACAACCACCCAUACCCGUACUUCCCGAGAAACCCCUCCACGCUUUUGAUGAGUUGAGAACGAGUAAAAGGAAACCCGCAGAAUCCCCGACCUCUCUCCGCACGGCGGACGAGGCGGAGGAUGCGAACGAGAACAGAAUGCGUGCAGCGGCGCAAGCCAGAGGCCUCACCGAGAGAGAGAGAGAGAGAGAGAGAGAGAGAGAGAGAGAGAGAGAGAGAGAGAGAGAGAGAGACGAAGGAAGAGGCCUCACCGAGGAGAGAGACGAAGGAAGCGAUCAAAACCCCUCCUCCGCCAGCGCCGCACAGCAGAGAGCCGAGAGACUCCCUCGGUCCCUCCCUGACCACGAGAGAACGAAGACAAGACGAGGACGAAGAGCCAAGUGGCAGCGUCGCCGCGGGCGUUCGAUUUAUUGCGGACGCCUCCUCGCACGCGGUGUUCAGUGCGGCCCCGGGGCGGGCGGGCGGGCGUGCGUGCGGUUGCGCCGCGCUCCGGCCCGUGCACCGCUAUGGGUGCCCCGCUGCUGCUGGACUGCGCCUGCACACGCGAUCCUUUUGACCCGCCCGGAUCUCUGCCCGUGCGGCGGGUCGGGCAGGCACUGGGCUGCUGCCGCCGCUGCCUACUGGCGCGGGAAGAGCACAUCCGCGUGGUCUUCGCACGCACUGCCGCGACGCGGGUGUUGAGUGAGUGGUGCGGGGAGCCGGGGAUCGCAGGUGUUGGAGCACGCAACAACUUCCCGGAUCGGCUGCCCAAAUUAGGAUACGGGAACGGGAGACCGAUCAGCCCAAGUGAGGAUUCAGGAAACCGACCUAGUACUAAAGAUAGUGUGGGACUUGUAGGUCAGCAUCAUCAGAAAAUGGAAACCGCAAAAGUUGCGAGACUAAUCCACACAUAUCCAAAAAAACUGGGCAGUAAAUGUCUGGCAUUUCGAAGUAAUCCUACGGGAAAUGUAUCAUCGCGUGUGUUCGCUAUACUACUUCUCAAGUAUUUCAGCGCAACGUAUUGUUGCGUUAGGAAUGGAAAAAAAAAACUAAUUACUUUCAUUAAAAAUCAAAAUAUUAAUGCACCAGCCGGGAAUCGAACUUUCAUUAAAAAUCAAAAUAUUAAUGCACCAGCCGGGAAUCGAACCCGGGUCUGUACCGUGGCAGGGUACUAUUCUACCACUAGACCACUGGUGCUGGUAUGAUUUUAAAGUAUUUCAGUGUAAUGCAUUGUUUGCAUUAGGAAUGGAAAAAGUAAUUACGUUCAUGAAAAAAUCAAAACAAUAAUGCACCAGCCGGGAAUCGAACCCGGGUCUGUACCGUGGCAGGGUACUAUUCUACCACUAGACCACUGGUGCUCGAAUGAUUUUUAAAAUUUUUACAUUCUUUUAUUACCACUGAGUGCGUAACAAAUGCUUAACAUUCCAAACGGCCAAGCUGAUGAGUGAACUAAUUUGUUAUAGUUGUCUGCCAUAUAAUGACACCAGGCCAACCUGAUGGGUAAAGUAAUUUUUCCGCCAUAUAUUAACGCCCGGAGUUAAGUAACAUGAAAUUUCAUCACAACCUAAUUAGCGUGGGGACGAAUCCAUGAUGCAAACACGUUUGUGUUUGUUACGUGGUGCAACAACGUAAAAUAAUACUUGCCUGUCUUAGGUAUUUUUCUGAUGAUAAUAAAAGGUAAAUUCACCGGACGUGGAGCACCCCCAAAACAUACAAAACCUUCGAGCAUUUAUAGAGGCCAUGCGGAAGAGCUUCACUUUCCCCUUUUCUCCAAAUAUAUGCAACGACAUAUAUGAUUCACAAGAUGCUGGUUAACCAUUUCAUGCCAAUUGGUGGAUCAUGUGACAACAAAAUUAGCAAAAAAAGCGCACAUACAAAAUGAUGCCCAAAAGCACUGAUCACAGCAACAAAUUAUUUUAUCUUGGACAAAAAAAAAAAAAAUUCGGCAGGGAAGCAUCCAGUACGAGAAAUUGCAGCGUCUCAGUCGCUACCACUACCAAGUAGAACUCCAACUUGUAGACAUGGCAAACUUCAAUUAAUCCCAAACUUGCAGACUGGGCACAGUUUCUUUCUUUUAAGCCACUCGUCAAUACACUGCAACGUGCAAACAGUUUGACAUCAGAAACACGACAAGCUUCAGCGGAAGUGACUGAAACAUAACAAAUAGGAGGGAUACCUCUUUAUGGAACUUGUGAAAGCAUGGCAGAUGGCGGAUAGUAUCUCCCACAGAAGGAUUUUCAAGGCAGACAGAACAUGGAUCUUCAAUGCUAUUGGACUGUCGGAAACAGGAAAUCAUGGGAAAGUAGUUAGGAUUUUUCAGUCAAGAAGGAUAGGCAAAAACUUAUACCAGUUUGGAAGAUACCUGAACUACUGACUGCGGCAAAUUAUUGAUCUGGCUUUCUGAAGCACCAGUGUGCUGGUGGUUAUUUUCAUCCAGUGCAAGCAGUGCGUCAUAGUCAUUUCUGCGACAAACCAACAAGUGCUCUUUUAGGACGUUUAAAUUUUCAGUCUUUUUUUAGAGAUGGGGGUGUUGAAGUGAGAAUUGCUGUAGCAUAAAUGCAGAUAAAAUAAACCACCCAGUACAAGAUUUUAAACAAAUGAAUAGGCGGAAGAUAAAAUCAUAACAAAAAGAUGACAUAUGCACACGAAGAAUGACAUAGAUGAUAGAUACAUAAAGCUUUCAUUUUAAGCAAUAUAAUGAAUUGAACAUGUAGACUGUUUUGAAUUCUCAAGUCAAUCAAGCAACUUGAAGUCCAGUGAAACUAUAAUAGAUGAAUAGUAGAAUGACCACUUACAAGUCAAUGUUUGGUUGAAUGUGCAAAGCACCAGAAUAUCUUGCUAAAGCAGCUCCCUAAAAGUAGCAAAAUAGAAGCUGUUAAUAAUCUUCUAUCUAAGGUAACAAAAAAAACUGCUAACUCAAUGACGACUAUCAUCACAACUGAGUACAGAGAGCAGCUGAGAACACCCCUGUGCUAAAGUUAGGAGUCCAAAGCAUAUACCAGAAAAGUACAAACAGAAGGCAAGGUAUGAUAGUGCUUGUCCAUAGACGAACAUAUAACUGAUCCAGUAUUUAACCAAUCAAAUUCCAAUGUACAUUAAUAAUGUAGUAAUAUGGCCUUUCAAAACAUAAUCUAGUAAUACAACUGGAAGCCUAAAAUAGCUGUAUAAUGUUGCAUAUGAUUUGAAUGCAUUGAAGCUGAAUAACAUGUUGGUUGGUCUAAAGAAACCCAGAAAAAGUUCUUUUACUGAGAUGCUAAUAUAUUGAUAUUCAAUUAUUCAUAGUAAAAAUAAAAAAGGGCAAGGGAGAAUAAAUACCAAUCCCAGUGUUCUUGGAGCAGUAUUCCGCAGACGGGAAAUCAUAUCGUCUGCUGUCGCCAAUCGAGCCCUAAGAGCAUUUCGAUAAGAACUCGAACGAGCAGCCCGGGCAUCUCUCUAAUAAAAAAAAAGAUUAAACAUGUCAAUUUCAAUAGAGACAACACAGCAAAGGAAUUUUGUCAUAAAGAAUACUUUUUCUGCAAGAUUUUGGUUAGCAUAUUUCUUGUUUUUAAUAUUAAAAAAAUAUUAACUUCAUAUUCAGAUCUUGUAUUGCAAGAAAAUCUAUAAGAGCUACUAGUCAGUAGCUCACACAUAUGCAAAACAUAAAAUGAGUUAAGUGCUCUCACAAUAUUGUUUUGGAACCUCCUUACAGGCCUAGAUGUCCGAUGUGCAUCUUCUUCAUGUUGAAGUGACAUUGCUACGAUUGCAUCAAUCUGUUUUAUGGAAAACUGAGAAUCUGACUGUUUUCUAAUCAUCAAGAUGUUGAAUGGAGUACUCAAGAGAGAGAUGAUGAGAAAUUACCUCUUCUGUUGGGGCAAAACGAGGAGAUUCAUUGUAAAGUUGCUCCUGGAGUUGGCGAGCCAAUAACUCAUCCGACUCCAAUUGUGCUUCUAUGUUAGGAUCAACAGAGGUUCCAUUAGUGAAUCCACUCGAACUAGGUCUAGCUUCAGGGGAUAUGUCAUCUAUGGUUAUUACAGGAAUAUUAUGCUGAUGACUGGUAUGAUUUCUGCCGGCUGAUAUUUUUGAUGAUUGAAGAGAACCUCUAGGUUCGUCAACAGCACUAGAGCUUUCACCAGUAUGACAAGAAGUUGAGGUUUCUUUUCUCCAUCCUUUAUGAUUCAUUAUUGUUUUAUUCCCCAACCUAUCAGGAACCAUCAUGGUUGCUCCACUAACUGAGGUAUGAUUGCCUCCAGCAGAUCCAUGGUUUUGAUUAGAUCGCGUGGAAGAUCCAGGUUCUCGUCUGGAACUAGUAGUUGUGUUACCCAUAAACGAAAUGGGUAAUUUACUUGUGUGGUUGUGUGUUGUUCUCCAACCUUGCUCUGUGUUUAUAUCAGAACUGUUUUUGUUUACACAAGUUCCAGCAGUACUAAGAUCAACCCUGCAACAGAGAGGUAGAAGUAAGACAUACCACAUUUUGCUGCUCCAACAGUAUAGUGACCAGAAAAAACAAAGUAGUCAUUUCAUAUGAAAUAUAAGGUAUCUUGCUAAACAAAGUCGAGUGGACAGAAAAAUGCCUUCUAAAGCAAUCAGUUGGGUUUCAACAUAAUCCAUGUCCAUCAAGCUAACUGUACUGUAAUUAUAUCAGUUCAUUCAACUACCAUUUCUUACAUAAGCCAUAUUGCCAUGUUUUAGCCUUUUACAAGAGAAGACCAUACUCAAAUGAACUCGUAUAGCAUGAAAUGAACUAGUUAUUCCAGUCAUAAAAGAGAUGAAGUAAGACAGCUUUUAUGAGAACAGAUAGAACAUACCCCCUCAAGUCAGCUUCUCCAAUCUGAUCACUAUCCAAGAUAUCAAUGCUAAUUCCUUUUCCUUUGUUGUUGUGGCCUGAUAAAUUAGCUUCAGAACAAUUGCUGCUGUUUGCAUGAUAUUUGGACAGUGGAACCGAAGUCCUGCCAGUUGUCUCUGUUCUCAGUUUUUUUGUGGCCCUUGUGUCCAUAUUGUGUCCAGGGAUAAAUUUAUUGUUCACUUUAGAUCUCUGCCUUGUCAUUAUUGGUGAAUUAUCAGUGAGGUCAAUCACACUGCUUCUGUCAAAUGCAUCAAGCUGAGGAUGUGGAUGGUGCAAAUGUUCACUUGAAGAGCACAUUUCCCGUUUUGCAUCCACUUUUACAUUUGUCUUGGCUAUGUUAGAGGGAGAAAUACAUCCAUUGUGGACCAGCCUUUUUUGGCCAACAUGCCUUCGAGGAACAACACACAGAGGGCUUGUAGGUCCUGUAAUGACCUUGUCAGUGAUCACUUCCCCUUUGACCUCUCCAGAACUUGAUCCUAGACAAACAUCAGCACCUGUUACACCUUUCGUAGUGCUAGUGCAUGUCCUGUUUCCUGGUUUUCCCACUGGGAUAGUAGGAAGACCUGAUCCUAUGCCAAGAAAGUUUGCAUUCUGAUGACCUGCAUCUUGCUGAACAACCUCUCCAUCUUUAACUUGGAAGGUAGGGUUCCUUCCUACCGUCACACUACAACUUAUGUUGUUCGAAAUGCUUCUGCUCUGAUCCAAGCCAUGUUUUUCAGCCCUCUUUUCAUUGUCAACAGAUAUCCCUGUCCUGUCAGAUUUCUUUAGGGAAAAUUUUGCAUUAUAAUCUUUUGACAGUUCCAGAACCUGUGCUGCUUUAGCUUGUUUGAAAAUAUGAUCAAUAUCUGAAGCUGCAGGCAAUACACUACAAGCAUUAUUCUGACUUGAUGAACCAUCCAGGGAAUUGUUCUUGAAUCUAAUUCUAAGUUUGCGCCGUGGUGAUGGAUUAGCAGCUGCCAUUGUAUAAUCCCUCCCAACAAUAGAGCUGGAAACAUGGUAUUUUGACUGAUGUUGGUCAGGAGUGUCAGGAACCUCAAGAAUCUCAUCAAAAUUGAUGUCAGACAUAUUCACUCUCGUUAUUUAAGUUGCAGAAACUUGCCCCUUCACCUGUGCAUGGAAACUUAAGAUUCAACAUUUUUUCCAAUGGUUACUUUACAAAACAAGCAUUAACACUAUAAUGAGAACAUUACCUAUAUAAACAAGAAAGUAAAACCAAUAAGCAAUAAGAACAUGCAAAAGCUUGAUUGGGAUUUGGGAAGCACGACCGUUACACAUCAAGAGAACUUAAAAACUGGCAUGGAUCUAACAAUGUGGACACGGGACUUUGAUGAUGAUAGCAUUGUAGUGACACCAGGGAUGGCGAGGCAGCUCAUGGCAAUAUAGUCAUGAAUAGAAUAACAGGUGAAAGCAGAGGAAAAAAGGAAGGUUGGGACUUGGAAGCAGGUAGACUAGGGGAUGGUGUGAUUAGGAGUAUGGGUGUAGGACAAGAUCGCAAGUUGGACUGGAUAAAGCUAGUCAGAUACCAAAAAACAACAGAAGCAGGACAUUCAACUGAACUAGGAGAGUGCUUUCUUUAAAAAUAAUGCUUUUCAGAAAAGUUAAUCCUAACCAAAUAGGAUUGAGGAAGACAAAAACAGUUAGCAUUGAGCAUAUUAAGCAUGUAGCAGCUUGCCUAAUUUUGAGGUGCAAUGUACUAUAUAGUUGCUACAAAUGCCUUAUGUACUUCACUUAAAACAAUUCAAAUUAACAUAACCUAUCUUUCAAGUGUUCCCAAAUCAGCCACCAUGUUGUACUGGUAACAUCAAGCAAUGCAAUUGAUUUACUCAGAACACAUUUCACACAUCCCAGAAUAAUAGGUAAAUACCUGCAUGGUGCUAUAACAUCAAAUUAUUAAUCUCAUCAACUCUUAAGCUGAGGUUUACUCUCAGUGACAACUCCAGGGAUGGCCAGAAGGCCCUAUUACCCCUACUGGUCUACAAUAACUUGCCCACCAGCAUAUCUGCGGCGUACAAAAGUACGAUUUGUCAUAUGUAAAAUUUGGCGGCUUUGCCUCACCUGCUUAUCCCCUCUAGAGAGAGCUCAACGAGACGGUGCUACCAGGCCUGUGCAGACCUGCCUUCAGCGCACUAGGGUUGAGAUUCGUCUACGCCACGAGUAGAAGGGCGCCGCGACAGAGUGGCGAAGAACAACGGCGGCCCCAUCGCCCCGUAUCGGAUGGAGAUGGGAAGGAGCGCAAAAGCCGCGGAGGAGGGCCGCGGCGUGGAGGUAGAGGAAACGCUCUGGCGGGGCGCGAAAUGCGGCCGCACAGCCCAAGACUCAUGGAAAUCACAGUCGGGAACCCAUCAGCGUGUCUAGAACCAGCGAAGAACCCUAGCACGCAGUAAUCUGACGACAUCGACGGAGAUUACCUUGAUUUCGUUUUUCCUCCGAAUCUGAUGGCGAAACGCCGCAGACGCGCACGAUCCCCAAAUCCUGCGAAUCUGGAGCGAUCCGGGGAGGGGGCCCGAAUCAGGAAGACGGCGGCCGCAAUAGCCGCCUGCUCCCAAUGUCCUUCCUCCCCGAUUUCUCUCUUCCCCCUUCCCUCUAUCUCUCUCUCUCUAUAUCUCUCUCUUCGGUGCUCAGUUUCAGUUUGAAAUCUACUAUUAUACCAUCGCCGCUCCUCUCUUUGCCUUUCCGCUGCCGCCUCCGCCCUCGGGGAUCAGGCAAAUGGGGGUGGGCUCCGUUUGGGAAUCGGUGGGCCUAUGGGUGAAUCCGGCUGUGACACACGACGGUUUCUGACGUCAGACUCAGACGUGACACGCCGCUAGGUCAAAGCACUCAGGCCUUGUUUAGUUCCCAAAAUUUUUCAAGAUUCUCCGUCACAUCGAAUCUUGCGGCACAUACAUGGAGCAUUAAAUAUACAUAAAAACAAAAAUUAUUUGCACAGUUCAUCUGUAAACCGCGAGAUGAAUCUUUUGAGCCUAGUUACUCUAUAAUUGUACAAUGUUUGUCAAAUAAAAACGAAAGUGCUACAGUGCCGUUUUUCACAAGUUUUUGCGAACUGAACAAAGCCUCACAAUCUGCAGGUGCACGUAGACAUGCCCGAACCAGGCACUGUUGUCAUCGCUUUUGGCCCGUGGGCCUGUGGGACAGCAGCUUCUCGGAGGCGACUCUAGUGCAUUUGGGAAUUUUCCUUUCAAGUUUUUUUUUUCUUUCACCAGAUCUCGCCUCUGGGAAUUUUCACUGCAACUGCAAGUUAUUCUUUGGCUUAUAUACACAAACGCAAACUCACCACUAUGACCGAACAAAGUUACCAAGCAUCUCUAAAGAAUUAACCUUACCCUAUAAACACAUGCGAAGAACUGAAUUAAAGAACGACGUAGACACACCGUACCUCUGAGCACCUUCGAAGUUAGACCGAUCUUGCAAUUACUGAAAAAUAGCAUCAUUAAGUUAUAAAAUAAAAUCCAUAAAAUACAAGCACUCAUGUCAAGUUGAGAACUUGAAUAUGAGUGGAUAUAUUCCACCACAACAAACUCAUUUAGCUGAGAUAUACUUUACUUCGCUUCCCUGCAAGUUCAUUUGGAGCAAUACCUCUCGGAAAAAAAAAGUUUUUUUUGGGAUUAAUAACACAUCAGCUUCCCUUAGGGCACUCACAAUACAGACUCUAUCAUAGAGUCUAAAGUUAUUUAUUACUUCGAACAAUGUGGACUUAGAGUCUAAAUAAGACUUGGAGUCUUAUAUUUAAUACCUCUUUCUUUAAUAAAUAUGCUGUCACAUCAGCAAAAUACCAUAAAUAAUAUAUAAUUAAUUGUCUUAUACUCUGUGAUAUAGUCUUGCAUUGUAAGUGUCUUUAGUAUUAACUUUAGCUGCUACUAUGUUUUAGUUCCAAUAUAUCCAUACAUAUACCUUCUUAACGCGUUGGCUACACUAGUGUCUGCUCUGCAUUAUUAUUUUCUUGAGACCACAAUGCUCUCUGCAUGUGCGAUGUGGGCCGCCGGUGAGAGAUUUUUCUCGUGGGCUGUUUUUUCUUUUGGGCCACGUGAGGCAUCUGGAAAAACAAGAUUACUUACAUUUUCAUUUGCAUUAAACUUAAAAGGUUAUAGCUUAAAUAGGUUAUAAAUCCUUAAAAAAUGUUCCACUUAGGUAUAUCUAGAUACAAUUUCAUUAAAAAUUAUCAUGAAGAUAUAAUAUCUUCCUUUUUGUUAAGUAAUACAAUGCUUAGGCCAGUCUUAAUGCAUGUUUCAUGAGAGUGUCAUGCACAUUAAAUAGGGUGCCACAUAAGCAAAAUUGCUGACUUGGCAGGGUCAUUAAAUAAAGGAGUUUCAUCAGAUGAGAGAGGAGUUUCAUCCCCAUGAAACUCAUAUGGCUCGGUUACCUAGUUUAUAGUCUUGGUAACUGUGCUGUGAAACUAUGCAUUGAGACUGGCCUUAGAUUUAGCAAACCAUAUCCGGCUUUCAUAAAAAAAACUUGAUUUAGGAGAAUGAAAUUCCAAGCUGAGGUAAGUAUUAUUCAUAAAUGAUAGUAUAAAAAUGACAAUAUCUUAUGGAAAGAAGGGUCAUGUUGUUUUAACGUGUAGCAUCUUUCUCGUGAGAAAUAUUGUUCCUUAGAUUGUUCAUGUGUAUCCAUGGAUGUUCAGAGGGUAUAUUAUAUUUUUAUUUUCUCAUAUAUCCAUGAGAUGUUUCAUGUUGUAUUCCCUCCAUCUCAAAAACGAUGUGCAUUCCUUUUUAGACCCAUGGCGUAUUUUGGAUUGUUGGCAUAGUGACCAUGGGAUGUUUCAAGACGUACUGUCAAUUGCAACCUCAAUAUUUGUAUGGUAUAUUUUUAAUUGUUUUUUAUAGUAUCCAUGAUGUAUUAUGGAUUGUUCGAUUUGUAUCCAUGGAUUGUUCCAUCAUAAAUUUCACUUACCCAUGAUAUGUUCCAUUGUGUAUUUUAAAUUAUUUUUCCUUUUCUUCUUUGUUUUUAGCUAUAUAUUUUAUAUCCUUUUAUUUUAUUGUGGUAUUUUAGUGAUGUUCACUUGAGCUAUUGUUUUUUUUGCUAUAUUUUUAUAGCUUUUUUUUAUCCUUGGUCAUGUGGUGAUACUAUCUUUAACUAUUUUUUGAUAACAUUGUCAUCUUCCUAUUUACAAGGUGUAUUCUGCUUUUUCUCAUGUAUUCAUGUCCUAUUCGUGGUGUAUUUUAUAAUGUUUCUAUAAUAUCCAUGAGAUGUUACACAAUGUACUUUAGGUUAUUCACCACGUAUCAGUAAGAUGUUCUACAAUAUAUUUUUUUAUUUUUUUUAUAUUGUGUAUUUUAGGUGGUUUGUGCAAAUCAAUGGGAUACUUGGCGUAGUAUUAAUGAGAUGUUCACUCUAUUUGAAUAUUAUGGAUUCACCAAACCUAGAAUUUUAUUUACCUAAACCUAAAAUACUAUUCUUGAAAACCCACAACAUUUUUCUUUUGAAGGCAGAACACUAUUUUGUGAGCCUAGGACAAAAUUGUUAUGCUCAUAAAAACACACGAGAAAAUAUUUAUUUAACAAAGCUUAUCUAAAUAUAUUAAAGUGAGGUCUUAUUUUGAAGGAUUUAUUAUAAGAAACAUAUUGUAUAAUCAAAAUUUAAUUUAAAUACUUGAUUUGUAAAUAAUCGCUCUAGAAUUUCACAAUACUAGCACAUCGGCUGAUGUAAGGAAUUUUGUUUGAUCUUGCGUGCAUACAUGCUUCUCCAAAACCAUAGUUCUUCCCUAUUUUGAUUUUGGUCGAAACAGAGAAGUAGAAAUAGUGAAGUGCAGGUGGGUCGGACCGUAGGAGUAGACGUUAAGUUUUGAAAUUUAGGAAGAGGAAGGCCUUCUUCUCCUACGCAUGCUGAGAGCAGGGGUCGAGUUUUCUUGUUGUUUCGUUUGUGCCGAAGGAAUCUCUGAAUGCGCAACGGUGAUUAAGAAUUUUAGAAGAAGAAAAAACUCUUCUAGAAAUGAGAUGUAUGCUCUUUUUUCUGAGAUGGAGAGAGUAAGCACAUGAGGUGCAACUAUAAACAGCAAAUUUGUAGCUCAAUUCAAGCUGAUUGGCUAAGAUUACCAUGAAUAACACGGAGGCAUAGCAAGAACAUAGAAAGACAGCCAAUAUGUAAAUAUUGCCUUUUAUUGUUGCCACACAUGUUACAACCAUUUGCAUCUAGAGAUUAGUAGGAGCUUUGACCGGCCUGGCUACCAUGAACAGGAGCGGGCACUGGAGCGUGAUGAUGAGGAUGAUGCAAUUUUGGAGCGUGAGCCGAUUGGUGGUGGGUGUGUACCGGUGCUGGGGCACUAUAAUCAUGAUGACUUGGCGUCGCUGCCGGUGCGUGAUGACUGUGGUGACCAUGAUGAUAUGGCGCUGAUGCAGGUGCAUGGUGACCAUGAUGACCUGGCGCAGGUGCAUGAUCAGCACCAUCGUGGCCAUGACCAUGAGAACCCAAUGGCUGCGCAGGUGCCGGGGCAUGAUGAGGGCUCAGAGUGGCUGCAUGGUGACGUGGGGCAGGAGCAUAGGCAUGUGCGUGGCAGCCGUAGUGUGUUGUAGAUGCUACCAUAAGCAGCAUUGCUAUUACAACAACCAUUGACGGGAUCGACGUCGCCAUAGAGAAGAGAAUAGCUACAGGAAAGAAACUAUCAAACUACUACCUAUGUGGUGUCUUACACUCCUAGACAAGUGCGCAUAUAUAGAGAGUUGUGACCAAGGUUUUGGCUAUCAUGGAUUGGAAAAUUUUAAUUGCUCAAAGUCCAAUAAGGAUCUGAUUGAUUAGCUCAAUGAAGGCAUUCUUUCAUUUUAGAUGUUAAUAAUAACGAAUUAAUGUAUUCUUUUUUUAGAUAUAAUAUUAACAAUGAAUCAAUGCAUUCUUAGGACAUGCAUGUUGAUCCAAGGCAUCAAGUAAUUACUUUCUAGAUAUGAGAUAUAUUGAUUUACUCUCUCCAUCCUGUAAUAUAGGAUAUUUUAGUAUUCAAAAUUUGUCCUCAAAUAUAAGGCAUUCAAGGAGCCAGAAACCAGUUCUGCAUUUAAAACUUUUCAUUUAUCAAACAAUCACCACUAAUCUUUUUGAUAAUAGUGUCUUAUUUAGAAACAAAGCGAGGACACAUGUGUUUUUUGUGUUCUCUCUUAAUUUGUCCUAAAAUUAUAGAAUGUACUAGAUUACAAGACGGAGUGUGAUAUAAUACUAGAAAACUCCUUUUUAAAACUGGUACACCUUGGAAAUAUAUUGCAUGCCUAUAGCACAAUUAACUACAUUGUCACCAUAAAAUACUAUUCCCUCUAUUUUAAAUUAUAGAUCGUUUUGGUUUUUAAGGUAUAUGGUUUUUACUAUGUUCUUAGAUAUACACUACUCCCUCCAUCCUAUAAUACAAUUCAUUCUAGCAUUCAAAAUUUAUCCUCUAAAUAUAAGGCAUUCUAGAGGACAAAAAUCAAUUUUAUAUUAAUUACUUUUUAUUUAUCAACCAAUCACCAUUAAUCAUAUUGAUGAUAGCGUAUGAUUAUGAAAUAAAAUGAAGGAACAUGUGUCUUUUAUGUUCUCUUUUAAGUUAUCUAUGUUACAGAACAGAUGGAGUAUAUAUACAUACAUAACAAAAUGAUUGAACAUAGGUAGUUAUUAUAUUACAAGAUUCAUAGUUAAAAGAGUAUUACUAAAUUAGUAAACUACAAUUAUAAAUGCCAUAAAUUAAGAAAAUAUAUACUAUGCUUCAAACUUGGAUGGGGCUAUGAAUUGAGAUGACAAAGACAAAGACAAGUUUAUGGAAACUUAUAGUAUUUUUGGGACCUUUUUAUUUUCUAGUAUUGAAAUGGAUGAAAGACAAUCAUUUGUGGAGACAAUAAUGCACUUUUCAAUGAAUAGAAUUUUUUUCCAGAGACUUGAUUGUACGAUAAGUUGUGUGGGGGAGGCUUGAAUACAUUUAGAAAAUUUUAUAGGAUUUGUAAUGAAUUAUAGAAAUUUCAAAUAUAAUGAAGUUUUGGUGUAUAAUUCUUGGGUACGCAUGUUUUUCAGAAAGGACGGCAAGAGCUUUGCCUUGAUUUCUAUUAGACGAAGAAAGAAAAAGUGUCCAUCUAGUUUUUUUAAAUGAAAACUAGAUCAAAAAAUCAUACAACUCAGGAGAGUGCACCACUCAUCUUACACAACUUCCAAAUACACAACUAUCCAAACUCAUUCCACCACCUGCUCCAACUUGGUCGAAUCGAACCAACUAACAACUCAAAAACAAAUAAGGUCAAUCUCAAUAGAGUUUUAUGCAAGUUUUUUGGACAUUAAAUAUGCUGACAUGACAUUGUACUAAUGAAGUGAGAGAUGAUAAAAGUUUCAUAGGAAGUAGAGAUAGUUUUAUGGGGAUAAAACUCUUCUAUAUUAUUUCUAAAAUAUAAAUGCAUUGGUAACUAGCCAUGAAACUUUCACUAAGACUGGUCUAAAGAACUAAAGAAAUACGAUAAUCUGUCGAACGACACCAAACCACAUAGCUUUGGAGCACCACCAAGGCCAGACGACAAGGAGCAACCAUGAAACUGGAAAGCCUAACAAUGUCUCCAAAGGAGAAAACAAUGCUAGAAGCACCGACAAGGGAGCCUGUUAGGGGAAGGUUUUCACCUGCAACAUCUAGUACGGUAGGAGGAUAGGUAGAAAAGGACGCCUCCAAAGGGAAUAGCAUCUGCAGACGUCAUCGUCCAAGCUUUCACCUUAACCUCAAGCAACCUCCACACUGUUGCCGUCAAAGACCCUACCCUACCAUGAAGGCUGGAUGUAGUGAUGGGUCAGCACCAGCCCUUCUUGGCUGCCAGCCCUAUGGGCGCAUGCUAGGAGAACGUUGGGAGAAGCCCAUAAGAGAGUCCACCUCGCUAAAAUCGGCAAAACCGACCAACAAAAAGCAAGUCCGACUAGCUCUGCCAUGAAAACUAGCCCGAGAAAGGAGGUAAGGCAGAAGGUGGAAGAAGAGGGCCAAGAUCAAAAGAAGCCCCAAUCGCCUAGCCCACCCACGUACCAACCUCUGUCAAACCAGCCCUGCAUCAACCACACUUGUAAGGCUUUCAGCAACCUUCGCAUCAAAUUGCUACAAUAUGCAUGCCCGCUCCCCAACCCUCUAGGAAUCUUAGCUAGAUCACAUAAUUGGAACCAGGUGAGGCCCGCAUCACCGCACAACACGUUCGGUAGCCCACUCCACUGUGGCUCAGGCAUCGGUGCCGCACGCAGCACACGUCGUCGUCGGCGGCCACCAUGAGGUCCACUAUUGCUUCCCAAAGGCGAGAGGGCUAGAACUGGAUUGGCCACCCCGAUGCAGCAGAGUAGGUCGGCCACCACGAUAGGAGCCGCCGACUGACUGACCAGCUAGCCACUUGCGGAUACACCCACCACCGUCCGAAUGCGCCACUGCAGGCCUAACCACAUCGAAGGACACCAUACACGCCUCCUAGCAGUCAGAUCCAUCAUCCCCCGAGUGGAUCUGGCCACCAUAGCAAGCAUCUCGAAGAGCAAAGAUGGGGGAGAAAGGAGAAGGAAGGAGGAGGAGAAAAUGUGGGAAAGGUAGAGAGAGGCCUCGUCGUCACCCUCCUCACCACCUGUUAGGCCUUCGGCAAGUAGCUCCGGUGGUGGCAGAGGUCAGGCAGGCCUGCAAUGGGGCAUGAGCCGGUGGUUGCGUGAGCCGCCCGAGUUCCCUAGAGCAGAUGAUGCGGGGGCAAGAACUGUAAUAAGAAGAAACCUUGAGCUGAACCUUGGGUACGUAUGCGCGUAGCGAUUUUGGUGGAUUUUGAGACGCUGACCAAAGGGACCAUAACCAUAGUUGUCCGUGCUAGUGACUCCUUCUAAUCCAUUAAGAUAUUUUAGCUUUUUCUAGAUACAUAUAUUGUGCUAUGUAUUUAGAUAUUUAUCUAGAUAUAUAGUUAAAACAAUGUGCAAAAAAUUCAAAAAUAUAUUAUAAUUUGAAACGAAGGGAAUAUUUUUUUAGACCAAAGUUGUAGAGACAUGGACCCAUGACUGCUUAAAAAUGCAAUCUACUAGAAUAUGCUCACAUACUAAAGGGAGAUGAUGGUGACGUUGGGCCGAGCCAUGCGGAAGUGAGGAAUGGCUAUGAGUGGUGGUGUGACAACAUUCUAAAAGGAGAUGCCACCCGAAUUCCCCUAGCGUUGACAUAGGGCCUGAUUGGUUGCUUGGUCAAGCGAGGCUAGCUCGUAUGAGUGAGCCAGGCUCCUGCUAUCCAUGCUCGGUACAUGCAAUAGAAGUUUGAUUGGUUGCUUGUUUUUGUAUUGCCAUGCUACGGAGAGAAAUUGUUUGGUUAACCUACUCGCAUGGUCAUCCAGUAUCGUUGUUCUCUUGCCUAGCGCGUCCUGCACGCUUGUCCUGCAUGGAGCCAACCAGGCCCAAUGUCUAGAGCCAGGUUGUUGGAAUGCUUUUGCAUCUGGCAAAGCGAGGCUCAGAUGGUUGUUCAGGCAUCUAAUCGCAUCCAACUGCAUGCGGGUGGCCCAAUUGGAGGUGUACGAGGCAACCUAUCGCGCCCAUAUAUGUCAUUAUACUCUCUUCAUUUGGAAUUAUAAGUUGUUCUAGUUUUUUAGAUACAUUAUUUUUAAUAUGUAUCUAGACAUAAUGUAUAUCUAUAGAAAAAUGUAUGUAUAUAGAAAAAUAGAAUGACUUAUAAUUUUUAGAAUGGAAGGAGUAGCAGCGAAUCCAUGGUUCUACGAGGGGGUUGGAUUAGGUUGGGUUGAAACAGUAAAGUUUAGGGUGGAUUAGAGUGAGGUAGUGAAAAAGAGUUAAUUUUUUAUGGGUUAGGUCGUGCAUGGAAUGAGUUUUAACCCACAAGGCUGAAGGGUCGAGAUGGCGGACUAGAGGGGGGGUGAAUAGUCCUUUCUAAAACUUAUUGCGCCGGCUAACCGAAAUAAAUGUGGAAUUAAAACUAUCGGUCUAGCCAAGACUACACCCAUCUAUCUAAGUUCUCUAGCACCCUGUAAAAGAUCCUAAACAAGAAAACAAAGUGCUUCCUUAGCAAUAGCUCAUCUAACCAAUUCUAGGAGCAAGGUCACACAAACCUAUGCCACUAGUACUUUGCAAACCGGGGAGCUCCUAUACAACUAGUAAGCAAAAGCACGAAGCUCCUAAGCUCACUAGCAAGCUCAAUAACAAGGCAACUAAUGCCAAAUUAGAGAGCGCAACUUACUUAGUUACACAAACUAAGCAAAGUGACUAACAAGGUUACACAAACCAAAUUAGCCACGCAAGGGAACUACUUCUAGCUACACAAGCAAGAAGGUAACUAUCAAGCAACACAAGCAAGACUAGUUACAAGAGCAACUAUACAAGCAUAAGGUAUAGAAUGUAAAUACAAGCUUGUGUAAGUCGAAUGCAAACCACCGAGAAGAGUAGACAAUGUUGACACGGUGAUUUUUACCGAGGUUCACUUGGUUGCCACCAAGCUACGUCCUCGUUGUGGCGAUACACCCACUUGAUGGAUCACGAGCUAAUUGACAUUCCAAAGCCAAACCCUCAGCGGGUGCCGCACAUCCACUCUCAAGAUGGGGAUCCUCCAAGCCACAAGCAAUCCACUAGAGUUGCUCUUCGCGAUCCCCGCGGGGUGAGCACCUUACCCCUCACAAAUCCUCCUCCGGAGCACCGCACAAUCUUCUCACGUGCUUCAAAUGGAGUCACAAUCCACCAAACCGUCUAGGUGAUGGCAAUCACCAAGAGUAACAAGAAAUCCCCAAUCACAAAGAUUUCCUAGUGCCACCAAAUGCAAAUCACGAAUGCACACACUAGGCUCUCACUCCCUCACUCAAAAAAGCACCAAGCAUGAGAGGGAGAGGAAGGGGAAAAGGUGGAUCUUCAACCUCUCAUCCACACCCACAAAGGCCUCUCAAUCUCUCUAAGAAAUUUCAGCUCAAAUCCAUGGGAGAGAGAGAGGAGAGGAGGAACCCUAACUUGCUUGCUCUCCUAAAGUGAGAAAAUGGGGAGAGAAGUGAGGAGGAAGAGGGCAGCAGCAGCCCCAAAAUGCCUCAGCUCGCGCUCCCAACGGUCAGAUUCAGCCUCGCAGGAAAUUCCAGUGCGGGUAGGAAAUAAUUCCAGGCGAACACACUUUUGACCGUUGGCGUGGGUUAGAUCUGAGCUCAACCGGAAAAUUUCCAGUGCGGGUAGGAAAUAAUUCCGAUCGACCCCUCUCUGUUGCAAGCACAAACACUAGAAUAUCCAGGUAGGGUAGUGAAUAAUUCUGAUCGACCCCUUGCUGUUUGGGCAUGACUACUAGCUCGGUUUUCCAACUCAAAACCCCUUUUUUUAAGGUGCUAACUUUCCCACAAAGUACCAAAAACAAUUGAGCACUUAAGUUAGCAUUUUCACAAAUAAUUUUUAGGGCUUUCUCAAGUAUUCUCACCACGUCACUAAGCACAAUGCAUAUGCAAAUGAGACUCACACUUAGUGGCACUAGAUAACCAUUGCAACUAAAGAUUUCCCCUCUUUAUAGUACGGUUAUCUAUCCUAAAUCCGGUCAAGCACUUCUCUACUCAACUUAGACCUGUGAAAUGAAAUGCCCUAUAGGUUAUACCUUUGCCUUGCGUAUUUCAUUCCAUCUCCUUCGAUGUUGAUGCAACACAUGCACCAACCAAUCGCAAAUGAUAUGAUCCACUUCAUAUCAUCACAUGACCGUAUUGGUUCAUCGAUCUUGACCUCACUUGCUCUUCACCAUUGCCUUGGUCCAUCGGCGCCAAGUCUUGCUCAAGCUUCACCGUCACAUGCGGUCCCUCACUUCAAAGCCUCUACUUGCCCUCCACACUUGCAACUAGUCCAUCGAGCCAAGCCUCAUCUUGAUCUUCUCCACCUUGGUCACAUGACUCCAUGUCAUGUCUCAUGUGCAAUGAGCUCCUCCUUCAUCACAUCAUCACCUGUGGACUAAUCUCCUGUAUAUCUCAUAUAAAUACUAUUAGUCCACCUAAGUUGUCACUCAAUUACCAAAACCAAACAGGGACCUUUCAAAGGCCUUGUUAGGUUGUUCUCAUAAUGAAAGGGAUUGGAGGGGGUUGAUGGGAUUUUGACUUGUGGAGGAUUUAACCCCCCUCAAUCCUUCCAAUCCCCUUAGUUUUGGGAUCAAACAAACAUGGCUUAACAUGGCUACUUGCUCACAUAUUCUCUUGGAAGGGAUUUUCUACCAAUACCUUCAUCAUGUUAUUGUCAUUCCUAGUCAGGUGAUGUAGGCUUAGCAACCAGCAGCGCCUUGCAGACGACUCGACCUACCACGUGGUGUUCGAGCCCAUACCGAGGUAGAUCUGACGAGACAACAUCUCCAGGCAGGCUUGACUCUUCUAGAAGUGAGAGGUACAUUCUUUUAUGAGAUUGAGGGUGUAGGAACACUGACGGAGCCUCGUAGAGGCGAAACGGGGCGUUCGCCCCCCUUGCCUCUGACAAAAAUCAGUGAACAAGUCUGUCAAUCCCUAAGAAAGCCUUUAUCUCUGAUAAAAACAAGUGAACUUGUACAUCCCUAGUAUUACCUUCAGCUAUGACUGACCGGAGAGAAGUAGAAAAGGCUAGUGAUGGGAAGUCGUGCAUGUCUGCCACUACUACUGUCAUAGCUACAGUAACACCAUUUAAAAUUAGCCCCUCCUUGAUUCUACUUCACCCUCCGCCACUGUGUAGGAAGAGGUGUGUAACCGUAAACAACAAAAGUGUAGCUCCAUUUAGGCUAGGCAUAGCAAGAAUAUAAAAAAGAUAACUAAGAUGUAAAUAUUGUUGUUUAUUGUUGCCACACAUAUUACAAUCAUUUGCAUCUAGAGACUAGUAGGAGCUCUGACCGGACCGGCUACCAUGAGCAGGAGCGGGCACGGGAGUGUGAUGACGAGGAUGAUGCGGUUUUGGAGCGUGAGCCACUUGGUGGUCAACAUGUACCGGUGCUGGGGCACGAUAGUCAUGAUGACCUGGCGUGGAUGCUGGUGCGUGAUGACCUGGCGCCGAUGCUGGUGCAUGGUGACCAUGAUGACUUGGCGCUGAUGCCGAUGUGUGAUGGCCAUCGAGGCCAUGACCAUGAGAACCUGAUGGCUGUGCAGGUGCCGGAGUGUGACGAGGACUUGGAGCGGCUGCAUGGUGAUGAGGGGCAGGAGCAUAGGCUUGCGCGAGAUGGUCGUAGUGUGUUGUAGAUGCUACCAUAAGCAACAUUGCCAUUACAACAACCAUUGAUGGGGUCGACAUUGUCGUAGAGAAGUAAAUAGCUAGAGAAAAGAAGCUAUCAAACUACUUACUACCUGGUGUCUUACAGUCCUGGGAUAGCAUGCAUAGAUAUAUAGAGCCGUGACCAAGGUUUGGCUAUCAUGGAUUGGAAAAUUUUGAUUGCUCAAAGUCAAAUGAGGAUCUAAUCUAAUUGAUUAAUUAGCUCAAUCAAUGCAUUCAUUCUUUUUAGAUAAUAAUAUAACAAAUUAAUAUAUUCUUUUUUAGAUAUAUAACAUUAACAAUGAAUCAAUGUGUUCUUAGGACAUGCAUGUCAACCCAAGGCAUCACAUAAUUACUUUCUAGAUAUGAGAUCUAUGGAUUUGUAAUACCAUAUUCUUCUUUAGAAAAACCGGUACACCCUAGAAAUUGCAUUUAUUGCAUGUCUAUAGCAGUUAAUUAUAUUGUCGUGAUAAAUUAUAGACCAUUUUGGUUUUUAAGCUAUAUAUGGUUUUUACUAUGCACCUUGACGGACACUAUGUAUAGAUACAUAAUAAAAUUUAUGUACCUAGAAAAUCAAAAUGAUUUAUAAAUUUGAAUGGAGGGAACAAUUUUUACAUAAUUCAUAGUUAAAGCACGUACUUGAACAUUCCUUUGUUCUAAAACUAGCAAAGGCUACCCUCGUAUGAAAAUCAUUUAUGGGCACAGUACGCAUAGAAAUUUUGGGGUCUUCUUUUGGAUUUUCUUGUACUUAAUGGAUGAAAGACAAUCAUUUAUGGGUAUAGUGCUGCAUUUUUCAGUGAAUAGAAAAUAAGAUUUUUUUUUUUGGCAGACUUGCUUGUACCAUAUGUUGUCUCGGAUCUAUUGUCAAGACUUAUACAAGAUGGGUUGGUUUGGUUUCAGUUCGGUCCUAUGAUUGAUUUGGGUUCAGUCUUGUCAUAUAAUUUGGCUUUAGGACCAAAAUUGCGUAACUUUAAGCGUGAUACAAGGUGACAUGUUGUGCUUAGCAAACAGACGGUCAGGACUAGGGAUGAAAACGGAUCGGAUACGGACGGAUAUCAUUGAUAUCAUAUUUGUUUUCAUAAUUCUGGUCGGAUUCGGAUUCGAAUACGGAUAAUACCAAUAAUGUCGGAUAAGAUACAAUUGGAUGUCGACAUCAUAAAUAUACGAUUUAAGUAUUCGGAUACGGAUACGGUAUCGGAUGUUGACUAUUCGGACUCGGAUACGGACAGAUCUUAACCUCUCUAAACGAAUUCGGUCUCGAAUACGGUCGGAAAAUAUCCGUACCGUUUUCAUCCCUAGUCAGGACAUACGCAAACAAACAACUUUCCAGCGCCGGCAGCAUGGACAGUUACCGUACAUAUCAACCCCAAUGUAAUGCAGUCGAAUUGGCACAUGAAAACUACUUACUAGACUAAACAAAUAGGCACUAUCCACUAUCGUGUAUUGCAAGGCCAUGCUGAGUGAAGAUACAAUCCAUUCAAGACUGAAUAAACAACAACAGUUCAUUCAAGCAGAAGUUUUCUUCAGAGCCCUAUCCAGCCUGACAUUAAAGGGAGUCGAGUGCCAGUUCACCCUUUUGUCCUGCAACAAUCCACCGAAGGACAGGUAGAUCACAAAAGUGUUCCAGCAAUCCAAAGAAUGUAUUGACUUGGCUUGCUUAGCGUACCUCUCUGUACUUGCUUGUUGAAUUGGGAAUCCCAUUAGUUCCUGAAUUGGAUCUAGAAGAACAGUACUCAUUGUCCUGCUCUGUGCAAUGCCAGUAACUUCCAACUGUACCCAAGAUCGGAGCCCCCUCACGGUUAGUUCUUGGAGAUCUUUGUGGAGAUGAUGCAGUCGAUGAUUGCUUCAGGUCAUCAACAGUCUGAGCACCCAGGAUAGGCCUUUCAUCUCGGUUUACUGACGAGAUGGAACAAGGAGAUUUGCUUUGCACCUUGUCCACUGUUGAGUUUUCAGAAGAAACCAACCAGGUAGAGAGGCUAGCGUCCAGAGAAAUUUCCUUUUUGCUCGAUAUGCUGGGGCUUGGACCUACAUCUGGCACUAUGUUUACAUUCUCCUUAUCGAACAAUUUACCAUGCACUGGUUGGGCCUUGAGACUCUUGACUUUCUUCCACUGUGACAGAUUCUGAACCGGGUUUAGCACAGGAUGAACAUACUGGCAUCUAUCACGGAGUUUCUUUGUCGCAAUUAGAGGGCUCUCUGCCUCUACAGAGGUACCACUGCUCUUGGGUGCAGGACUGACAACUUCUUGGUCAUUUUGCUGAUCAUUAGACAUUGACAGUGAGAAUAGGGAUUCGUGAGACUCCUGCUUGUUCUCUUCAGUUCUAAUUUCCUCCUCCUCAUCAACCAAAUCAAUCUUGCAGUCCAGAAAAUCCUCCUCAUCUUCAUCACUAUCAUCACCAUAGACAUCAUCCUCAGCAUACUCAUCUCCAACAUCAUCAUCACUGUCAGAACAAUUCCGGUAACGAUGAUUCUCUGGAAGAACAACAGUAUUCUGCACAUAGUUUUCAUCUUCCUCUGGUGGUUCCUCCUCUUGGUCAGGUGGUACUGCAUUUUCAUAUGUUGUGACAUUCAUGUCGAACGUUACUUUCUUCUUGCCACUGCUCCGACUGCCAUGUUCGUUCACCUCCCUACACAACAUGAGAGAUGGUUUAUUAACAGUCACGAUCACGUAGACUGCAUCACUAAUGAUAUAAAAAGAAUACACUAGUUCCUUCGAAUACCUGAGAUCUGAAUCCAGAGCUGAAACUACUACUGCCACAACAGGAGAACACUCCACUGAAUCCUGUGGGGAAACAGCUGCUGCCACAAUAGGAGAACAUUUCACUGGGGAGAGUGAUGGUGCGGCUUGCUUCUCUAACACCUUUUGCUCACUCAAAUCCCUGUAAACAAAUCAAAGUAAGAACUGAGAAGCACAGCAGUACAGGCAAAUUACUGCAAAAUAUGGAAAGCAGACAUAAAGUAUGCAGGAAGGCAGUUGGCUGCGAGGAACUGGCACCUACGGGCUGAUGGGUAGACAGCAUGAGGCUUGCAGGUUGCAACCAUGACUUGAUGAAUGGCACAACUAUAGUUCUUCUCUAUAGAAUUACAGCAUAAAUCUGUGGGCAAGCAGUUGAUUUGAUUCCCAAGCAGUGGCACCCAUACAGCGAGUUUGCGAGAGGCUUCCAUCUAUGAAAUGAAUUGAUGAAUAGCACAGCUCUAGUUACUCUAUUUAGCAUUUUAGCAAGCACAACAGCAGCAGCUCGGUUCCUCCCAGACAUUAAACACAUUGUUCACUCGCACGAGCAGGUAAACACUAAAGGCACGCGCAAAUAGUUUAUCGAAGCACUGGAGUUUAGACGCACCUGAGCUCCUCGACGGGGCUCGCGUCGGUGACCGCCUCAUCCGCGGCCACCACAGCCGACGGCGUCGUUGAAGCCUUCACCUCCUUGGACAGCAGCAGCGACUCGUCGUUCGCCGCCACAUCCGCAGCCUCGCCGACCGCCUCGUCCGGGACCUCCACGGCCUCCGCCAGCGUCGAGGGCUUCGCCCCGCGCAACGGCGGCGACACCUCCUUCACCACCACAUCCGCCGCCUCGCGGGCCACCGCAACCUGCGCGACAAAACCCCCCCAAAGCCCAAUCAGAGUAAGAAACCCGCCGGCACCACGGGCCUGGCGUAGGAAAGGAUGCCCGAGUCUGCGAGAGCCCUCACAUGAAUCGACCGCGGCGGAGACCUCGCGGGAGACUGCCUCCGCGACUUCCGGCGGCGCCGGCGCCGGUCGGCGUCGCCGCCGAAGCAGGCGAGGAAGCAACCCAUGGAUCCGGCCCCGGGCUCUGGAGAUGCGUGCGGGAGGAGGGGGGAUUUGAUUCCGUGGAAUUUGAAGGGGAUGUUUUGGCGUCGCUGCUUGGCUUUGGAUUCGUGGGGGAAUCUGACCGUUGCCGUGGAGGCCAGCGAGGGCGCGGGGUUUGUUGGAGGGUCCCGAUCUGAUGUUUGAAUUUUCAUUUUAUCUCUAUCUCUAUAACUAAAAACACCCGAAAGUCAUCGUCAGCCCCCACCCUAAUCGCCCCGCCCUCGCUCUAAUCGCCCCACCCCCCUCCCGCGGUUAUCGCCCCCGCACCCUCGGUCGCUGCGGUUAGCGCCUUCCCUUCUCUCGCCAUUCCUGGUUUCCCUCCUCUCGAUCCGCGCCCCACGCCCCCCGCAUCUCGAUCUCCAUGGCCGAGCCACGCAGCUGCCUCUGCUCCUCUCGAUCUCCGGUGGCCGAGCCCCGCCGCGAGCCCGCUGGUCAUGCGCACGCCGGUGGCCGCGCCCCCCGCCGCGAGCCGCUGCGAGCCCGUUAGCCACGCGCACGCCGGUGGCCGCGCCCCCCGCCGCAACGCCCCCCGCCGCGAGCCCGCUGGCCGCGCGCAUGCCGGUGGCCGCGCCCCCGGCCGCGAGCCGCCGUGAGCACGCCCCUCGCCGCAACGCCCCCCGCCGCGAGCCCGCUGCCGGAGCAGCUGCGCCGGUGUCGCCGCGAGCCCGCUGGCUGCGUGCACGCCGGUGACCGCGCCCCGCACCCCCCGCUGAUGCCCUCGGUCGCUGAUGCCCUCGCUGCCGAUGAGGCCAUCGUUUUCUCCGUAAUAAAGAGUAAGCUACAAGCCUUGAUCACGUGUGUCGCGCGUUCGGUUCUCCUUCACUCCUUCGUUCUCUCACCUAGGGUUCCUGAUGCUCUGCCAGCGCUGGUGGACCUCUCGCCUGAGUACCUCAUCGGCGCCCCAGAUUCCGUGCGGGAGCGGGUGGCGCUCCGGGGCCUCGAGAAGCAUGGAACCUUCGCCGACGCCGCCGAAGGUGCUGCUGCAGUGGCGCCACCUCCGUCGAAGAUUCUUAGGGUUGACGCCGUCCGCUCUUGCGAGGACUUGCUGGUUGAGCUCACCGAGCAGGUAUUUAGAGCCGGGAUCCCUUUAGAGCCUAUGCAACCAUGUGCAUUUUCGAUGUGGGUGUUUCUGACUUCUGAUUUGUCUAUCCAUUUUAUUACGUGAAGAGCUUGCAUUUCUGUUAAUGUUGAUUAUUUUACCCCGUCACUUUUGGAACGAUUUGAAGGAAGCUAUAUAGUUAUUUGUUGUAGCCACUUGGUUUCUGUUUCAGUUGAAACUGUCCUGGUUUAGUUGUCAAUUGUGAUUGGUAGAAACUUUGUGCUAGGGCAGGGAAAUUCACUAAAACUGUGAAGCCUGUGUUUAGUGAGGAUAAACGAAUAAACAGAUAUCAUUUUUGUUUUGAAAACUUAAUAAUCUGGACAGUGUAUCUGAUCACAAGCUAUUCUUGUUGACCAAUGUCAUCUGUCACAAUAGGUUGAAAGAAAAACAAUUGUGAUAGAUCUGUAGCAUUUUCAUUUCAUGAUAGAAACUGAAAUUAUCCAUUUUCAUCUAAACUGAUUCAAAGAUUAUCUUCAACAAGUAACUGAAUAUGUAAUUUUUAUUGAUGAUUCAAGAGUGAUCAUAUGAUGUGUAAUCAUUUUUUGAUUUGUUCGUCAUUAUGAUAUUCAAAUUGUGGAGUGUACUUCAUCAAAAGUGCGGGUUCGAUCUAAAAUUGUGGAGUGUACUUCAUCAAAGUUUGCCGAUGCCCAUCUUGCAGCUCUUUGGAUGUAAAGCUGAUGACAGCGUGUAAGUUCAUUCAGCGGAGUUGUUGGCUGGUCUUAUGGACAGCCGUGUAUUAGUCGGGUCUUUCAUUUUAUUUUGUCUCCAUGACAUGGUCGUUUAGUCCUAUAUAGCAGAGGUGCUGUUAGUGGUUGUUUGUAGUGAUUGGUGGCGCGUCUUUAGCUAAUCCCCUGCUGGGCAUGCAUGUGCUGGGUUUGGGAGAAGGCAUUCUGCAUCUAUCCCUUGUAUUAUUCACCUUUUUCUUCUUAAUUAAUGAAAUGACACAGCACUCAUGCAUAGUUCGAGAGAAAAAAUAUAUGAUUCCGAUUUUAAAAAGAAUUACUGCAUUGCUUUACCAGGAAAUUGUUUAAGUGCUCUAUUUAGUGCCUAAAGAUAAUGAUAUCAUCUUAUUUGUAAUUCAUCGCAUAAGAAGUCAUGUAUACCUACCGUGGAGAUUUUACAUGUAUGUGGCUACCGGCUACUGCUUAUUGGUGCUUCUUUGUGAUUCAAGUGUAGCUUGUCUUAUCAUUUGUGAAACAAUCUUCAAGCGUUUUUUAAUUUUGUUUAUUGUCUUCCAAAACUACAUCAUUUUGCAAUUUGGUUGUCAUUAAGUCAUUCCCAGUUUCCAGAUUCAAGGUAUAUGUUACUUAGAGUGUAAAAUUUGCAGGUUGGAAGCUCUGGAAUUCGGGAUAUAAUUAUGCCUUUUAGACAAGAUAUUCAAAACUUUAUUUGUAUCAAGAAACCUACACUACCAGAGUCUUCUUUGGAAUUGGUAAGUUGCAAAGGUAUUUUUAAAAUGAAAAAUUGGAGGUCUCCCCAAAAUACUACCAACCUGUUGUUUUACAUGCAGCUUAGAGAAGUGGACCCAGAGAUCCAAUCUAUGGCUGCAUCAUCAUCAGUGGAGCAGAAUGGUAUCAAGAAACACGACAAUCAUCAGUCCUUAUGCAAUGUCCACCAUCUUAACUCCAAUAUUGAUACACCUAGGCCCACUAUUGCCAGUAUUGAGCUUCAGCCUGGGAAUUUAACAAAUUUAGUCAACAACCUUGAAAAAGGUAAUUUCAAGCAGUGUCCAGUCGAAUCAACUGUUGAUCUUGAUAAGCCACUUGAAACAGACAGAAGGACCUGGUGAUCUGUCUGAAUGUGGGAUCGUCGCAAUCUUGGCUCGAAAGGACCUGGUGAAUUCACGAAUUUGAGGGCUAUAAAGCUGUUGUUAUUUGUGUCCAGGCAUGUCAAGAUAAUAUUUUUGCUAUUAUGUGCUCUUUAGGAGAAGACCGGAGCUUUUGCAUGCUCUCAUCAACGAAUAGGAAGCUAUCAGAUCUUCUCCAAGCUGGUAACUAACUUGGCCAUAAUUGUUCCAUGCAAAUCUUGCAAUGUCAUUGCAUGACUGAUUAAUAACUUGUUUUUUGGGGAUCAAGGCUUUUCAGAUAUAGGUGGUGAUGGAUAUGCAGUGUGAAGUGAAGAAAGGAAAGACAACUAUGAGGUUACUAGGUGACUGAAGUUGUUCCGUUGAGUUUUCUUCUGAGAUCAUGCAUGCUUGCAAAUCAUAGUUUAGUUUGGAAUCCAUGGUCUUGAAUUAGCAUUGUAUCUUGAAUUGGAUUGUAACAAAACAAAAUUCUUGUGGUAUGAAUGUAUGCUACCGAUGUGCUCUUUUUUCCCUGCGUUGCAUAUUUGUUGAUCUAUUUGCCUUUGUUACCAACUUACUAAUGCUAUUAAAAAUAUCUUGGGCUUUUAUUAACUAUGCCACAAUUUUAUAGAUUUAGGAGGUUAUUGGACAAACAAAUUUCUAUAUGCGAACUUUACAUAGAGAUAGAUAUAUCAAUUUUUCAGUUAUAUAGUUCUAGAUAGAUCAAGGGUACCGUGUGAUUUUUUGGAAGAAAUAAAUAUGCCUUUUUGGUUUGUUAGAUACUCAUAUCUUUCUACACUAUCAACUUGAAGAUGCAUUAGAAACAUCAUAUGAGCAUGAAACUAAUGGUGCGAUCUAUGUGUUUUUAACAUAAAAGUUUUUUGUCCCGUAGCAACGCACGGGCACGCUACCUAGUUAAGAAUAAAAGAGGGUUUUAUUUGGUGGGCGCCAUUCCAAAAUUUUUAAACUGAAAAUCGCGAGGUUUCUGGGGUUAGGUUAAUGCGAAUUUUAAGCUUGAAAUUUGGGCAUGGCGGAUCGAUUCGUCGGUCGUGGCCGUGGGGCACUCGCAUUCCCGCAAGCCGCAGUCCCCCGGCCCCGCACAAGACCGCUCGCCCAGCGCCCCGGCCCCAAGGGACCAAACUAACUACUGUUUAGCAACGGAAUCGCGGGCCUCUUACAUAUUUACCAUCGUAAUAGUGGCCUCUCAUCCGAUUUUUAUUUUUAUAAUAUGUCAUACAUAUUUAUCAUCUUUAAACAACAAUUCUUUCAUUUGAACCAUAUUUGUAAUGUGGCAGCCUAGGUCUACUGACACGGUGGCGCUGAGUCAGCACGGGUAGGAGAAAGGACGAUGCUGCCCUGACCUCUUUUUUUUUAUUAAAAAAUAAAACAAACACAUGCAUGCAUAGUACACUAUAGAUUCUUUUUAUUAGCAAAAAAUAAUAGGUAUUCAACUGAAUACCCUUGAUUUCAAGUGAGUCUUUGACCAUGAUUUUUCGAACGUUAAGGUACCAUGAUUUUUUUACCAUGAUUUUUUGAAAGAAAAUGAGGCUAGGGGCAGUGUCGUCAUUUUGCCUGCCCAUGCUGAGUUAGCACCACUAUAUCAGUCAGCUUGGGCUGACAGAUGUGCAAAUAUGGUCUAAAUGUAAGAGUUGUCAUUAAAAGAUGGUAAAUAUGUAUGAUGUAUUUUAAAAGUGAGAAUCAGGUGAAGGCUAUAGUUACGAUGGUAAAUAUGUAAAAGGCCCUGAAUCGCACACCUCCAAAGCCCCGACGCCCGACCCCACAACCGGUCGCGGGUUGCCGCUCCGAUCGGCUCGAGCUCGAUGCCGCCGGCCGGUUCACGCGCCCGGACGCCCGACCCCACCACCACGCCUUCCACAGUGCCACGUCUGCCACCCAACGGCCGACCAGCCACCGCCGCCUCUUCGAUUCUGCUCGCCGCCACUCUCCCCUCUGUUUCGGCCGUCGUAGAGCAGAAAUCGGCGAAUCACCAGCAGCUGACUACCUGGAGUUGAGGUUGAGGCUGAGGCGACUUGGUGCGUGGGGGGCUCUCCGCGCAGUCAUUGCCUGCUUCCGACAUUAUUGCCCAGGUAAGCUCCCCAUUCUGCUGGUUGCUGAAAACGAAUUGAUUGUUCGAGUUGGGGAUGCAUGAUGAAUAGAGACCGACAUCUUAUUUCUACCGUUAAGAAAUUUGUGUGUGCUGCGUGGAGCACAUUGGAUACACCUUAGCGUGUCGCUGGAGUAUAACAUGAAAUGGUUGUGGAAGGAAGUAGGCAUGAAGUAACAUUCCAAGCUUUAGCAGCCCGUACAGGUACAUUAGUAAUGGUGUAUGAUGUAUGAUAAAUUGCUUGCAUUUGAAGACCAUCGGUACAUUAUUGACAUUUUACUACUGCACCUCAAUACUGCAUAACCGUUGAUAUUACAUAUAUCGCAUUCUACAAGCCAGAGUACUUAGCUCUUGAUAGAGUUUGGAGUUCAGCCCCUUAUUUUAAUCCUUCCCUUUAGGAGAUUACAAUGAAGGACUGUUUGACAAGGCUAGCAAACCAAUAAUAAGCACUUGUGAUGCUUCUUCUUCUUCUUCUUCAUACCGAAAAACUUGCUUUGCAUAGUAGUUGCAUAACCUGCAUCGUCUACUGGUGUCUGCUAUGAUUCAGAAGAAUCAAUAUUUUGUCAGAGGAGCAAAUCCGUGCUUAAUAGCUGCCGACCAAGUCUUAUCGAUGUCCAUCAUAUCGUCGCCGCUCUCAUGCAUAUCCCAACCUUCCAGAGCAUGCAGUAUUCCAGCAAUACGCCAGGCACUCAUGACCCUUCUGGGCAGCCAAUUCUGUGAAUACAACCAGUUGUGUCAUGCAUACUGAUGUAGAUUGCAUUAUCUAUUUGAGUCAUGCAUACUGAUGUAGAUUCCAGCAAUGCAUACUGAUGUAGUUGCAUAAUCCCAACCUUCUAGGCUUUGAAAAAUUAGAAAUUCCCUAUGUAGUUAUGUGAUCCCAUUUUUCAAAGCUUACAAGAAUUUACACGAACAGGUAACAGAAGCCACUAUUAUUACCUCACAGGUGUGAACAUUUUCCAUUGUCUCUGGGAUCUUCAUUGCCGGAGUACUCAAGUAAGUGCAAUCCCUGCGGAUCUUCUUAAGUGGAAACUGUGAUGUAGGAAUGAACGUUGUUCCUUUUGGUGCCCUCUGUUGCUGUUUAUCAUCUAUGUUAUCUCCUAUCCAGAUCUGUACAAUGGAACUUCAGUCAACAGUAUAUUCUGCUUGCUGGAGGGUUGUUCCUUCAGUUAUAUUAUAUGUCCUAGUUAUAAAUAUUUUUCCUACUAGUUUUCUUGUCAUCUGGUAGUAGAUGGUAUUUCCAAAACUUGCUAUCACUAAAGCGCAAAAGGUUUAGUCCAUAGAUGUGAAACAGCAGAAUGUGUUAACAGCCAGAUUUUGUGUAAGUAGGACUAUAGUACACUAAGUACAGUAUGCACUAUCCUGUCAUGCACUCAUGCCUUUGCUAGUGAGGCCCCCUUAUGAUGUACUCACUCCACGGGCUAAGGCAUUUCCUGAGUUUUUUUUUUCAUCCCUUUGUUAUACACCUCUUACCUUAGGUAUGUCUUUAUUGGAGAAUUUUAGGUAGACAGUUCUACCCUCUGGAAGUCGUGACUUGAGCAUGUCAUGUUCCUUCUUUUGAUUCAUGAUUACCUGAGCAGAAAUAUGUUGGUGAAAUGUUUUGAAGAUUUUGAGAAUACCAUAUUACAGUUAGAAUAACAUAUUAGACAAAUAGAGUGGCAGAAUGACAGAUGUACCUGGAUACCUAUCUCACAUAAGGCGAUAGCUGUUCCCUGGGCUACCUUGGAAGUAAUUCUUGAAAGAAACACUUUCUUCGUACCAAAAGGGAUGCUCUUGAGCACCACUGCAGUUGCUAGGCCACUUCCAUCAACAAGUCGCACUCUUAGUUUUGGAUAUUUUUGUAUAAAUAGUUCGCCGCUUCUAUUAAGUGUCUUUGCCUAGAAAACCAAAUAUAGUGUUAGGCUCUUCUUAGGAGAAACUAGUGUGUAGUGUGCACCAAUUUGUGCAAUACUCUGGCUUAAAAUUCUAUUUGAAUCAAACAAACAGGAAAUGUGUGCCUACUUGUUUUUGUCUUAUAUGCUUUUUUGCAUUUUCCUUAUUAUUACAUUACAUGACCUAUAAAUGUGUAAGGCAAGUACGAUUAUCACCUGAUUUAGUAGUCCUAGACUGAGCACCUUGACCCCCCUUUCAUCAGCAUCUAAUAUUGCCUUUUCGAUCAAGCUAUUAAUGGAUUCUCUUUCCAAAGUCAUGCCAUACUGCAAGAAAGGAAAUUGUCAGUAAGAUACUAAGGUGUUAGAUCAUAAAGCACCCCAAAAAAAGUCAAGUACUUGGAAGUUGUAUCUUGGUAUUGCCCAUGUCUGCAUCUUGAACUUCUUCAUUUGGAGUCUCUCAAUGACAAAUGCAGACGAUCCAUAAACCCAUGCUAAUACCAUUGAUAGAAAAGCCACAGGCCAUAUCAUCCAGCUAUACCAUACUGGCUUGUUGGAUGGUUUGGAAGCAAUGGAGGCAAUCCCAAUCCUUAGAUGAUAAGUCGAUUGCAAGGUGGUCAUAUGUGUCAGGUGAACCAGAUCUGGUGUUUCAUCUGUGACUUUCAGUGAUUUCUCAUACAGCUCAUCGCUUGACUUGUCCAUGGUGUUGUACAUGUAGUCGUAGAAUGGCAUGAACAGUGAGUAGUUUGUGCGGAACUGGGUGUGAUGUAGAGAGUGAAACCUGUAGGACAAAACAAUGGUUGAGAGGUAUCAUUGCCCCCCUCCCCCAAAAAAUCCUGUUCACAUGGGAAUUCAAGGGAUCCCAAAUCUCAUCACCUGGUACUGGUUGACAAGAUUUUUAUUUUCAUGUUAAAAUGUUAUACUUACGAUGGGGUGUACAUGAGAUACUUCAGAGGAGGGAAGGCUUUGAAGAUCCACUUUGGUACCAGUUCAAAAUUGCAGUGCCCCAUAUUAUUCAUGAAGUCAAUGUACGCAAUGUACAAGACAAUGCCCAGAACAGAACCACAGCCCAUAAAAAUGGGUGUUAAUGUCGGGAUUGAAAACAACAUGAAAUAUACCACAUGUUCAGCAAAUGGAUGGAUGACAGCUGUCAGUCGCACAGUAAAUUGUGUUAGAACAAAAGACAAUUGUGAAUUGAGUGCAAAAUAUUAAAUACUGCAUUGCCACGCUUUCUAUAACACAAAACACUAAAGUGUCUGGACACAAUGAACAUUUAGUGAUUUAUUGCAGCAAUAUUAGUGUAUGGUAUUUUGUAGAAAAUUUUGAAAUAGAUUGGGUGCUGAAGGACAAGAAAUUACUACUCUGGUCAUAACUGUCUUUUAAGGUUUCAGAGGACUGCCGUUGGAGUUUUGUAGUCUUUUUUCUUGGGCACAUUUAUUCUUCAAAUUAUUAUGUUUCCAGCACCAAGUUAUUCUCCCAUCAGCUGGACUGCUGUUGUGGAUAAGUCAAAAAAAUGCAAUUGCAAUAAAAAUGUCAAUACUGCAUUCCUGGCUACUAUGCCCAUUCUUUAUUCCUUUACGAGACACUCUUCUUUGUUCUUAUUCUUAUUUAAAAUAUCGUGGACUCCAUGAGUAGUGCCACCCGAAGUUAUCAUGCAGGAUCACUAUUUUUUUACCUAUUGAACUUGGCUUGGAGGAUUUUUUUUUUAUCUAAUACGCACCAGAACUGCAUAUAUCUUUAUUGAAGUAGAAUGAGUUUUACUCCACGCGUCUGGCAAGUCAGUGGUGUUCCGUUGGUCCAAACAGAUUAUGGCUGGAACAACUACGUGUUGGUCCAACAAGACAUGGAGGAUUAUAAUAAUGAUGGAUUCAUUUUGGCAACUCAGAUAAACUGUUGAUGUUACUUACAGGUUAUGGGUUCUGUGACGAUGGAGGCAUGGUGGUGUGAGUGGUAGCGAGAGUAGAGGAAAUGGUGGUGCAAGGCUCUAUGGAACCAGUAGUAGAGGAACUCAACAGGCCCCAUGUGAAGCAGCACAGUGACGAUGGCCCCAUCAGUUCUCCAGAUCGGAAGGAGCCUGACAUUCGGGAUCAUUGCAUAGGCCAGAUAGAACUCGAGCCCAUUGAAGAUGAUCUGGUCAUCCCUGUAUACAGAAUGGUAAGGACUGUAUUAUAUUGCAGUGCAGAUGUGCAAGCUGCCGAGUUAAAGUUAGAGUUAGCCAAUGCAACAAUAUCUGAUAUGUGGGUCUAUGUGCAGUAACAAACGGUUGCCUGUGACACUUACCAGGACCUCUCCCGGUCCACCUGCUCGAACUCAAUACUACGGUCCACAAUCACGUUCUUUCUGCGAGCGGUCUGAUAGCGAGACAAGCUGAUCCAGAUUUGGUUGUGGAUCAUCCUCAGCAGAAGGGCUGGUAACAUGGUGGCAUAUGCUGGGUCAAGGUCUCCCCACCCCUUGGUUGCGACCCUGUGGGCAGUGUGCAGCACCGCAGGUACCAGGACCAGGUACUGUCCAUUCAACACAAACUCUGAAUCAGUUACAAUAGGAUAAUGAAUGCUUGUAAAUGUGUUCAGAUCUUUUGGUCCUUAGCAGCACGUCAGUUCAUCCGUCUGCAUUCAUUUUCUCAUGCAGUCAUUUAUAUGUACAACUACUACCUCUGUUUUUAUUUACAUAUCGUUAAAGCUUUGUUCGAAAUUAAAUGUUUGUAAUUUUACUAUUUGUUUCAAAAAAAAUUAUAAAAAUUCAUGACAUAAGAUCUAUGUUUUUAGAUUCAUUAUGAGAAAUAUUUUCACUAUGUAGUUUAUAUGUUGUGAAUCAAUAAGAUCCGUUGAAUUGAAUGGUCAAAAAUAGUAUUGUUUGACUUAAGACAAACCUAAUAUGACAUGUAAGAAAGAACGGCGGAAGUACUACCGGUGAUUUAGGCUUGACACAAUAAAAUUUCGUGACUUCAUGAGGAUCUGGCCGAUGUGAGCUGACUACUUUUAGCAGAAGGUAAGUACAUAAGCGCUUAAAUCUCUUUUUUAGAAACAAAAAUCCUACAGAACAUUUUUUUUUUGAAAGAUAAAUGGGCCUGAUAUUGGCAGAUGAUUUAAUUUUUCUGUGCACCCAUUAUUGGCUUGAUACCAAAGUCAUGUCACAACUAAACCAAUAACCUAGAAUCAUGACAAAACCAUUCCAAUAAAAUCAAUAAGAUACGGAAUAUGCAUCUUAUGAAUCUAUAACCACUAUAACAGAAUGAAUGCAAGUAUAUUUGUUGGAUGAACAGAAUGGUUCUCUGGUGAUUCACUGCGAUUAUUGUCUACUGCAACACUGGUACACUACCAAUGCAAACGCCCCCCCCCCCCCCCCCCACACACACACACCACCAUGACCACAUCAUUUCUAGCUGUACUGUACUAAUUUGAUGCAGAAUCUAAUCAUCAACCAGUUUAUUUAUUUUCUGCUUUAACUACUCUAUUAGCUGUGCUUGUUGAUCCUUGUGGCCACGUCAUUAGCUAAAGAACAGAAACACUAUCUCCCUCUGUCAAAAUCUGAAACCUAAAACAGUCAAGUAUUUGAGAGAAACAGUAAAGGUAAUUAAGACAACACAGAUAUGUGUAAGUCGAUAGUUUUGCAUACCUUGAAGUUCCCCAUCCAUUGCCAUGGCCAUUCUGUCAAAGGUCCCGGGCGUGUUGCCAUGGUGAUGAAGGAGACCUUGCUUUCUUCCUGGGAUAAGCAGUUACCUCAGCUAGCUAUGCUAUUUUGGUAAGCGCUUCAAGCUCCCCUCGCAUUUUAUAUGCAGGGUGCAGGGAGGGACAGUAGGAUUUAGCAAAAAACACCUCCAAAAGUAUAUGUUUUCAAAAGCCUCUCUUAGAUUCUUCCUUUUUGUCAGUCAUCUUGUGAAAAUGUUGUGCUGCUCUCAGUAUUAUAAUAUAAUAACACUUCUCCUAUAUUUUAGGUGCCCAAAUUUUAAGAUAAUUUCAGGCAACAACUCUUGUACAACUAGUAUAAGUAAAUUUUUACUUUUGUUAUUUCUCUUUGUAUCAUAAUAUAUUAAAUUUUUUGUCCUUGUCUGUCUAUAGAAAAUAUAUAUAAAUUGUUAAUUGUCUUUAUGUUAAUACGAAUCGGAAUUUAUUGGUUUUGUAGUUUUGUCUAACGGGUUAUUCUCAGAACCAAAAUUUGCAGAUUAUGCCUACAUAAAUUGCAAUGAACCAAAGCUUCAAUUUUAUUAUAAAAUAUAUGUAAUAACCAUCAAGACCUGAAUUUUAGCUAGUCCCAUAUAAUAAUCCAGUCUUUUCAAGAAUUGUUCUUGCGGAGGAUAUAUAUCACAGAAAAUGUACAAAAAAGUGUUAAUAUCCACAAACUGAAAUUCAAAUAGGAUGUAACAGAAUAUUUGUUAGACCUGUCCACGUGUUAGCUAACCUUGAGUGACCUAAAAAAGGACUUUCGACUGAAACUAUAUAUAGUAUAAGUGUAGCACUCAGUUUCCCGAAUGAUUUUAUGCUACUUUAGAGCUUGUAGCCUUGUACCAUAUAGCCACAAAAGUAGUAUACAUAGAGAAUACAUUUGUACCGGUCACAUUCUAAAGGUACAACUAGAAAUUAGUGCAAAUGUAACAACACUCAAACAUGGAUACUUAAAACUUGUCGGCUCUAAGCUUAGCAUUAGGUGGUGUCACGUGAAGAAGAGAGGGACUAAAACUUUUGAGCCAAUGUGAGGAAAAGAGCUAAACUCUUUGGUGCGCUCUGAUGCUUGGUAUAUUAGCGGAGCGCAGAUGCUAGCUAGAUGCUCCCAAUUAAUAGAGUCGACAUCGACGACGACCAAGGUUUGAUAGAUUACUCGGCCAGCUUGUGGUAUCUGUGCGCCUUCCUGCUGCGACUGUGAGCGCGAGGUGGCGCGGCCGGGAGCCUAGGCACCGCGAAGCACCGGCACCGGAACUGCCGCCGGAGCCGGUCCAGGCCUUUCACCCUGAUCCUCUGCCGCAGCCGCUUCAUGAUCUUGUCCAGGACGGCCCUGAAACCCUUGUGCAGCUUCUUGCUCGCUUUCGCCAGGCUAACGAGCCGUCUCUUGCUGCUCCUCUUCUUCACAACUGCAUCAGGAUUAAUUGUGGUUGGGUCAUUAGCCACUUCGUUCGUUUCUCGUAGUAUACGUACGACAGAUUCUGAUGAGAUGAUAUAUAUUUUCUUUCCUCAGGAAUUAUUAAAAGAUUGGGCAUGUUGAAGACGGACAUAUCGCAUAUCAUCAGCUUAGACAAACGUCAAAUAUUGUUGAGCAAUAUGGAUGCAUUUGUGAUGCCGUGUGGCAUGUCGUCGUUACAUUUGAUCUGAUUGCUAUCACGGUCUUAAAGCCAGCCGCUCAGACUGCUGCAAUUAUUCGCUUGUCUGAAGAGUCAGCUGAAAGUAUUGUUCGUUGAUUUUUUUUUUUUUUACAGAAAAACAGUGAAGUUCAGCACCAACAGUAGUGCUGCCAUGGAGCCAAACGAACAGAUCAUAGAUGUCUUGAUGAUGUGGUUAGCAUGUGCACGUUAUUAGAGAGAAGAAAAAAAGAGGUUGGUUGUCCUCUGCUAUCCAUCUCCCUACUGACUAAGGAGAUCCAGAGGACAGUAGGUUGCAUCGCCAAAUAUGUUUCACUGUUUAUACAUAUGGUGCAAAGCUGCAGCAGUUAUGCUUCCCUUUUUCAUGCAUGAUUAACUUGAGACUAAAUGGCAUUUCCACCUGGGUACGGUGGCGGAUGGGUUUUUAUCGCUAUCGAUCGCGUCGGCUUCUUUGUCGUACUACAACUGUAUAACACGCUAUACAUAUGACUGAUCACGUGAUAUUCGAUAUCAAAUAAUUUGAGGUUUAACCAAAAUUAUAUAAACAAAUAUAUUAAUAUUCAUGAUACAAAAUAAAUAUUAUUAAAUUGAUCAUGAGAUAUAUUUUUGUAAUAGAUCUAGUUUGGACAUAUAAAUAUUAAUAUUAUAUUCACUAGGUCUUCCUGAUUUAGGGGGGUGUUUGGUUGAAAAUGUUAAAAUUUUAUAGUAUUUUCGUCUUAUUUGACAAUUAGUGUCCAAUCAUGGAUUAAUUAGGCUUAAAGAUUUGUCUUAUAAAUUACUCUCUAGCUAUAUUUUAAAUUUUGUAUAAAUAAUAUAUAUUUAGUACUUUAUACAUAUGUCUAAAUAUUUGAUGGGAUAGAAGUUAAAUUUUACCGGUACCAACCAAACAAGACCUUUGAGAAAAACGUACACUCUGGGGAGCAAACUGCAAGAUGCACGCAUGGCGGCAUGGGCCGUGGCUGCGAGGGAGCUGGCGGCGAGACGUACCUUGUGACGCCCGCUUCUUGUCGUGGCUAUUCGUCCCGCGUAGCCUCGCGUUCUGGACGGCCUCCGUCAGCGUCUCCAGCCGCUCCCGCAUCCGGCUCUGGACGUGGCUCCGGGUGCACUGCAAUAUAUGCAUCACAUCAUCAGCGUAACCGCCGGCGCCGUCGUCAGCCACGGUGUUUCUUUGGCCUUGUUUAGUUGCCAAAAAUUUUGUAAAAUUUUUCAGAUUCCCCGUCACAUCGAAUCUUUAGACGUAUGUAUGGAGUAUUAAAUAUAGAUAAAAAUAAAAACUAAUUGUACAGUUUAGUCGGAAUUGACGAGACGAAUCUUUUGAGCCUAGUUACUCCAUGAUUGAACAAUAUUUGUCAAAUACAAACGAAAUUGCUACAAUGCUUAUUUUGCAAAAAAUUUUGAAACUAAACAAGGCCUUUGUGCCUCUCUGUAAUUGAAACGGAAACGGACGACGAGGACGGAUGGGUGGGUGAGCGGUGACCGCUGGGCGCUGGCACUGCCGCCGCCGCCGUCUUUUUUUUAGGCUUUUUUUAAAAAUUCUCAUAAUUACAUCUUUAAUUUUGGAAUCUGGAUUCAGGGCUUGGCGUAAUAGUAACGUUACUUUGGACUAAGUUAACAUUGUUUGGUGGCAUCUACCAUGACGUCAAACUUGGCGCCACUGCCAAUGAUGUCAAGAGUGCACGUAGUUUGUGGGUUUGGCGUCAUUACCACUAGCGCCAAAGCAGUGUAGCUUAGCGUCAGUAGCAAUAAUACCAAACCUUGAGUCUAGAUUUUUAAAAUCAAACUAACAGUGACAUGGUUAUGAAAAUCUUUCGAGAAAAAAGGGCAAAAAAAAACACACAGCGCCUCCACUAGCAGAGGAAGAACCUUGAUGUGGUACUUGACGUAGGACUGGAAGUUGAGCAGGAUCCACGCGGUCUUGGCGGCCCGCUUCCCCCUCACGUGGCGCGACAGGACGCCUGCCCAGGUGGCCCAUGAGACAGGUUGUUAGUCAUGAAGCCCGGCCCACCUACUAGAAGCCCCCGCUGUUAACUGGAGCGACACGGCCGGCCCCGUGGACCCCGUCGCGUGUACGAUUCGACAGGAGCAGCUAGCACGUACCGAAGGAGACGAAGCCGCCGUUGGUGGUGAGGUGGUGCACCUUCUCCCCGCGCAGCUCCGGCGGCGGGAUCGGCGACCAGCUGCACUUGGGCGCCCACGCGAACGAGUUCCCGACGUCCUGUAGCUCCUGCAAUGACAAAAGUUCAUCCGCCGCCCGGCCGCCCGCCAUGCAUGUGCAUACGAGAAGGAGGUGGGGACCUGGAAGAAGGAGGUGGCGAUGGCCAGGUCCGUGUCGUCCCUGAAGCGCAUGGGGAAGAUGGCGUUUAUCGUCUCAUCAGCCUGCAUGCAGAACGUACGCAUUGUUAGCGAUCGAGCUGCAUUGCAUAUAUACGUUGGUGGUCAGUUCAGGCUUGUGCGUUCCCUUGGUUAUAUUUCUCUGACAGACUGAAGAUAUAUACGUAGUAGUUUACUAGUUUCAGUUAGUUUGUUGUGCGCACGAGAAUUGAAUAAACGCACCGUCCUGCUGACGAAGAAGGGCUCCCUCUGGUUGUACACGAGCCUCAUGGUGCCCGGCGACGAGCCGAGGCUCCCCAGCAUCUCCUUCAGCUGCGAGCUCAGCACCACGGAUUGCAGCAGCGACACCUGGUUAAUGGCCUUCACGCGAUCUAUAUAUGUAUGUAUGUAUAUAUAUUCAGAGCGCGAUCAACCGGCUGUCAUCGUUGGGCUCAAAUGUGUUUCAAAUUUCAAUUGCAGCUAGCGUUGAUGGGUUCUUCGUAGGGUACCUUUCGGCCGGGCGAGGCCGGAGAAGUUGAGCUUGAGCGUCAGGGCGUAUCCUUCCCUCGGCGGCUCCACGAUCUCCGCGAACCUGCCAUACGUCUUCCUCGUCUCCUGCAGGGUCAGUUCAGGCAGGCGGCUCGCCGCCGACGACGACGAGGGUGCAGCCGCCUCGUGGGAGAGCGACGGCGUCGAUAUCGACAGGAACACGUUCUCAGGAUCCGACACUGAAGCCUGCAACAUAUAUAUGCAUGGUUUCCGCGGAUGUAUUAUACACAUGAUGAUCAUUCUUCGUCUGUUUGCUCGCCAAGCAGGAGCUGCUGCAGCACACAAGGUGCUUGGAAAUGGUAUUACAUACCUCCACAUGAUAUCGAAUCGAUCCAAACUCGAAGAAGGUGUGGUCAACAGGCAUUGGUCUUUCGGCGCUGCAACAAACACACAAUUGAAUUUCGGUCCAGGGGUUUCAAAAUUUUGCUCGCCCCACAUUCAAAUAUUACAGUGUCAGUUUUUACUACACCACUUGGGAGCGAACAGAGUGCAGAAUCAUCAUGCCCGGAGAGAGCUACUCCGUUUACCAUCGCGCAUACGGAUUACAGACUCCAUGUUUUUAUUUAUAAGCAAACUACAGAAGGGCAACAACCUGCAAACUCACCUCUGCAUCCUCGUCAGGAUUUCGACCAGAACCCGGGAUCCACUGCUGAAGAACGCCAUGGCGUUGGCACAGUUCGACACCCAGGACCAGGACCAGGGAUCAAAUAGAAGGGGAAAGGAGAGAAGAGAGGUACAAGUGUUGCUUUGCUAUCAGGAUCAUGGUCUGGUGGAUGAAAAAAACAAAUUCUCGGGACACCAGGGAGAGGACGCCGGUGGGCGGUGGCUGCCUGACUGGUGAGACGUGAGGGGGACCUCUCCUGGCUGCUGCUGCUGCUGCUGGUGAACUACUUCUGAAGCAACCUCCUGAGCUCAGCCAUCCCGUUUGCUUUGUUUCCAAUGCACUCCACAAUCAUUUCAGGGCUUUUCCGAAUAACUCCACAGGCAAAUAUGGAAAGUCCCGAAUGGUGUUGAGUGUUGGAUCUGGAACAGACAGUGCAGAUGACACCAACCUGGUAAAUUUUUUUUCCACACCAAUUCAAGAUGUUGGAGUAAGCCUAACCAAACAGGUCCAACCUUUUUCUGUUUAUUAGAAAUUAAAAAAAAAAUCAGACCAACUGCACCUGUCAGUAGGUGAAACAUGUGAAUGACAUCACCGACAGUAACGCUGACUGAGGUACACAAGUUUAUUCCAAUUGAAUUGCGCUUUCAUGCUACAACAUUUAAAGAUAUUUUGGAUCAAGACAACAUGUCAAUCACAUCCUAAUCUCCUUUUUGAAAAGAAAAAAAAGCAGAACAGAUAUCACAUUCCUAUGUUUGAGUUUGAACCUAGGCAGUACAGCAUCACACGCUCAAAUUGCAGGAUGCAAUAGAAUCCAGAAGCCAUGUAUGAGGAAUGGCUUUGCAGCCAACCGUGGCUGCCAGUUCUUGAGCCUCAGCUAUUCUCUUAUUGAUGGUCUCAAGGGUGUUGGGACUGUUUCCUUGUGGUGGCUCCAUGCUGUAAAGAAUCAAGGAUGCACAAGAGAGCUGAGUCUUCUCCAAAAUGGAACCCCCUCCUGCGGCAAUCAAAUCUUCAAGGUUGGCCUUGUAUCCCGGCAUGAAAUGGCCACUGAAAUAGAAGGUCAACCCAGCAAACAGGUUUGGUGCCUACAGAAGCAAAAAUGUGUGCAGUCAGUAUACCAAAAAGAUUGUUACAUUGAAGUAAUGAUUUGCCUUAUUCAUUCCCAGAAUUCAUUUGCAAACCUGCUGCAUUGCUCGAAGCCUUCCUGAGCGAGGCCCAUUAACAGAGCCAUGAACAUCACAGCUUAUCUCAUAGGGCUCUUCUGGGAUUGGUUUCCUAGCCUCAAUACAGUCUUUCAGCCCUAAAUAUCAAAUGUGAAUUUGCAUUAGAAUAACUUCCUUGCAGAACAGGGCAGUCUAAGCAAAAGCAACCUAGCAGAUGCAAGCAAUAUACUAGAUACAGCACUUGAUUGAACUAUCCUCCCUAAGUUGUGAUGGCUACAAAAUCACAAUUGACAAAGACAUACCACAACAUACAUAAUUUGGUUAGCCCUGACUGUUUUUUAUUGAUCUUCAGAGAAAAUGGACUUACAGUUCACAUUGAGAACCCACUUCCCAGCUAAAAUUGCCAUGAGAACCUUGAGUGUCCUAGCACAUGCCCCACGUUCAUCCGUAUUAGCAAUCACAUGAGUCACAUCCGAACUCCAAGUGUUAGUUACAGUGAUGCCAGUGUGACACUCAAAUUGAUCCAAGAUUUCCUGUGAAGUUUAUGAAUAUUUCAGGGCACAUUACAUAUUUGAAUAAGCUAUAAAGUACUUUUUAGUUAUGAAGAUCAUAUCAAAAAAGCAAUUACCUUCUCAUGGCCAAUGAGGGCAGAUCCACAUAUCACCCAUCCACUAGUCAGAAAAGGUGAGGCAGUCCAAAGUUCAUCCCUUUGCAUUGGAGAGGGUGAAUUCAGACCAUCAGUGUCAGAAGAUGGUCUGCAAAAUUCAAUGAGGGGUCAUAAGAAGACACAAUCAGGUGUAGCAAAAUGCAGUUAUGUAUAACAGGCACAAUGGCAUACUGCUGUAACUUGGCCUUCUUUUUUGACUUUGAUCUUUCACAAGGCAACUUUUUUGAAGAAUGUGUAGAACACAGCAUAACGAAGUUCUCCUGGAGCAAAUCACAUUUGUUCAAUGAGAUAACCAACAAAUAUUUUCCCACAAAAAAGGGCACACAAUUUCACUUACAAUGGACAACCCAGAUUUAAGGAACAAGACUUACUUGAUCCCAUUUGCAGCCUUUGAUGUUGUAGGCACAUGGGACAUGAAAACUAUUGCGGCAGCUCUUCACAAGGCAGCCAAGUGCUGCACCUUUCAAGCCACAAACACUGCAUUUGAUCUUAGAAGCACGGGCCAACUCAGGCUCCAAGUUAUUUGCAAUGUCACCAGUAAAGAAUGCUUGAGGAGCCCUGUAUAAUAGGAGUACGUGUACCAAUCAGUGAAAUGAAGUAUAUGUUCAUUCAGAAACAGUAUCAUGAAAGUUGCCAGUAGCAUACCAUUCAACACAUUUCUCAUGGACAUGAUGAACACUUGAUUUCCAAGCUUGAUCAGCUUCUAUUGGCUCCCCAUUCAGAUAAUGUGACAAAGGUCCAGUACACUAUAAAUUACAAUUUACAUUAGAUUCUUUGAGUAUACAAGAAACAAGCGGCAGGUCAUAUCCUAGAUAAUAGUAAACAAGUUUUGCAAGACCAACCUCAGUGACUUGGGAAGAAUGACAGAACUCACAUUUCCAAGCACUGGCCAUGGUUGUUUGUCCUGUAUUUGUGUUCAAGAUCACAUUAGCAUCUUGCAUUUCCAAAUGUUCUGAAAGGAGUUCAGGCAGGAAAGGACUUACUUUGAACCUGGUCAUUUGAUUUUUGCCUCUUCAAUUCUCUGGUAUGGUCAUCCAUUACAUUUGUCUCUCUUUUCAAUGCAGUUUGAAGAAGUGAUCUGCUUGUUAUCUGACAGAAUAGCACACAUUUAAGAGUGGCUCUACAGUCCUACAGAAGUAUUUUUUUUCUAAACAACUGUUGAAAAAAAAAUAAAGGGCGGAAAGGGGGAUAUAGAAUUUUACCAGUUCUCCUUCAAGGUCAUUGCUGUCACAAUCCAAAUCCCCAGGGCCGUCAGAAGAUUGUGACCCAGAAUGACCCUUUUGUACUAUAGCCGUUGGUGCAACAGCUGCAGCACCAGCAUUGUUCUCUACUGCAGGAUCUUUUGCUUGAACACCCUCCAUGUUCCCAAAUGCAGGUCCAGUUGACUGAUCAUAUACUAGCUUUGAAGCAACAGGGUUGUAAGAUUUCAUCUGGUCAUAUUUCUCCAUCACCCCACUUCUGUUUCCUGACUCUGGUGUUCCAUGAGAUGCUGUCUUUGCAACUGAACAAAAAGAAUUAUUUUUGCCACUCAAUCAAGACUUUGACAGACUACUACUUAUUGACAGUGCUUGGAGUUUAUAUUAUGCAAGAAAUGGAUGUACCAGGAAUGUUAACUUGAGCAUCCUGCUGUUCAAUCAUGGUGCAUACGGUAGAGCUGAGGCUCCUGUGAAUGCUCACUAUCGACUCGAGAUGAGAAGCUGGCCUUAAAUCUGCCAACAAGGCUGGGCUCAGAUAACGAAUCAAGGCAUCAAUCAGAAUUCUGAAACAAUUCAGUAAGCCGUGAUGUACCUUGAGAACAAUAGCCAGAUUUGCAAAUGGCGCAGCUGUAACCUUUUGAAGUCGGUGUAAGGGCACACUUGCUGAAAGAAAGGAACAAACGUGUUACUUCCACAGGGCAAGAUCAGUGGAGGGUGACGAGCGUUCGUCGGUUGAGGUGCCUGAAGAAACUACCUGCAGGAUGUGUGGUAGCACGGCAGCGUUGUCGGCGAGGUGAGCAACUUCAGGCUGACAAACAAAGUUUUCGCCGUCAGAUGACAGAGCAGUUCAGUAUACGAAUCGAUUCGUUCUCAUGCUGCUCUCUCACAGUUUGCCUGGAUCUAGCUCUAGCUAAGUUCGCCCCCGCUGCUCCGGCCAUGCUAAGCUUAGCCGUGCUACUAUAAAAGGAUCGAUGCUCGCCAGUUUGCCUGGAUCUAAGCUAAGUUCGUCCCCGCUGUUGCGACCAUGCUAAGCUUAGGCGCGCUGAGAUCUUGGACCAUAAAAAAAAUGUCAUUUUAAUAUCUUGAUAGAGUUCUACCGAAAGGCAAAAGCAAAGGACACAAGGAGAUUGACCCACCAGACGGGGCAGGUGAGCUCCAGCUCCAUCUUCUGCAGGUUGAGCACCAGCGGAUUCAGGAGCCUCCUCAGGUUCUCCAUCUUCUCCACCCACGACACGAACGCCCCUUCCUACUGCUCCCGCCUCCCCCUCCUCUCCCUCCGAUAUCCCUUGGAAAGGGCUACGGCCGUGAGGGGACAGAGUCACAGAGAGCCGGAGCGCGAGACAGAUGCGGUGCUGACUGCCGAGGGACUUGGAACUUGGAAGCUUGAGCUGGGCGCCGGCUCUCUAGCGCCAGUCAAAUACGCGGGGAGAGGGCGGCCAAUCGGGAAUUCGGAACGAGAGGGAAGUGAAGCGGUGGCGGGCAGGCAGCCGGCUGAACGAAAAUGUUUGGGCGCGAGCGCGUGGGCGGUCUGUGAAACCGGACGCUAUCCCAUCCGCGGGAGGCGGGAGAUUUUCGAGCGGCGGGGACGAGUUUUCUUGCCCCUUUUUUUUGGCCGGGCGGGCUGUUUUGUUUCGAGCGCCCCGCGCGCGGGCGGCGGCGGCACAUCGCGCCCCGCGCUCUCCUGGCGGCUCGGUAAGAAAGACCUAGGACGAGGAGGGGUGCGGGCUGGGCUGCGGACGGGGGGAGAGAGAAGUGAUCAGCUGUUGCGGGCCUCGUGGGCCGGCCUGUUGAAACUUCAAACUCAGGGCUCGACUGUUUUCCUUUCGGAUUAGGGGGCUCGACUGUUUUUUUUUUUGGAUUAUGGACCUAAUUGGUUUGCGACCAAAGAUUUGGCAGCUAAAAGUUGAGAAAAAAAAAGUUAACAAAUAUUUGAUUGAUAAGUCAAAUGUGAGAAGUUGGCAAGUUUUGGUAUCCAACUAAAUACUAGCCAAAACCACGGCUUGCUAAAUCCUUGGCUUGGUGAAAUUUUUUUUUGAUGCAAAUUCGCUAAGACUUUAUUCAAGCACACUUGGUUCAGCGCAGUCGCGAACGACAAUUUUAGGAAGUAAACCAAUCAGGCCCUAUAUAUAAUAAAAAUAUUCUGGAUUCACAGUUGGUCCACCACGAGAAAUUUAACAAAAAUUCCAAAAACAUCUUACAAUUUGAUAAUUAUUUUCUACACGCAAGAUAUAGGAUAGCCAUCACACCACAGUCUCAAACACACUCUAAACCUUUCCUUCAUGAAUGCAAAAUCACUUUGUAGAAAGUCAAAAAAAAAGAUGCACAACUAUUCAGCAGUUGAGUUUGCAAACGCUAGAACACCUUUCCUAUCCAUCAGAUCAACAAAGGACUGCACGGAUCUCAGAUAUAUCCAUUAUGAUGUAGCCACGACCCCCUCUCGUCUUCUUUUUGACUUUACUCACACUACCACCACGUCACUUCCCAAAGCGGUCCUCCUCAUGUCGGCGGCUAUACCAUCAAACUUCCUCAACCAUCGUCUCCUUAUUGAUCACCUCCAAGAUCUAUUUCUAUAGCAUAUUCCUCAAUCCUCACUCCCCUCACUCUGUGUCGUCGUCGUUGUCCUCUCUAGUGGUGUCUUACCACCAGAUAUGUCACUCCCUUCUACUACUAUGCUAACCUCUAGAUUCAUGAUGUCUAUGACUCUACCAUGCCCAACUAGCUUCUCGAUUUGACAAAGGCAUCGCAUCAAGUAGGAAAAAACUUCAAGUCCAUGAAAAAACUCAAAAAUUUUGCAUAUCUAAAAACAAUGUUCAAAUUUAGGUAAACCUAUGAUUAGGGUUUGUACCUGUUGGCGCUAGCAUGGACUCCUGUGAAGUAUGGGUAGUGCCCAACCUUGAUUCUUGUGCUCAACGAGGAGCGUUGUCGAGUGGUGCUCCUCUGCGAUAGCUAAUGAUGCAUAGGUGAAAAGCGAAAGGAAAGAGGUACCUUAGCGGUGGGGUGAGGGGGCAAGCAAAGUGUGUGGAGCGAGAUAAAUAGGGGAGACUAGGAGGGGGUAAGCGACAAUCUAAAGAGGUUGGAUUCCAUGUAUUAAAUAAAGAAAAAGAUAAUACAUAGCUUGUCCGGCGUGCAUGCUAAAACAAGAAAUUUUAAAUAAUAUUAAAAAAAGGUGAAAACCAGAUAUUGUACCCGUGGGCGCCGACAUGGCCUUGGCAUCCUGGUUUCUUGUUUUAUGGUGAACCACGAGGAUUGGGAGGGGCUUAAAAAUAAUGGAAACCAAUUACCCCCCAUAUGGCUUGCUUAGUUAAUCCCCAAACUGAAGUGAUUUAAGGUAGGUUUGACUUGUAGAAGAUAAAAUCUCUCACAAUUCUCUCAAUCAUUUGGACAGAGAUUAAUUGAACAAAAUUUCAAGCAACUAGUUCCACACCAUUCAAUAAGAACAUUUAAGGUUGGAUGUUUCAUUAGAUGGCAUCACUACCCUCCUCCCAUGUCCACCGCCCUAGGCUCUUCAUGUUCCGCCCAUCCCUCUAUGGAGCAACCUCACUGAUACUAAGGAUGGACAGGUACACUUCAUCGUUUGGUCUAGUCACAAGAUUGGAAAAAAAAAAUUGUGUCCCAUGGGCUACCAGAUGACGGCAUUUCAUUUUUUUCUCAUCGAAUUUUGUUUCUUGUAGAGAAUUCUAGUGUGAAUGACUAUCAAGUAUUUAGCCUGAUGUUCUUCACGUCUAUCUUGUUUUUCACAUGGUUGAUGCAUAUCGAGUAUGUUUCUGUUCCUUCUCGUUUGCAUCUCUGUGUUACUGCUUUGUUGAAUUCAUCACUAGGACAAAAAGUUAUCCAAACAUAUAGUUUUAGCAUAUGAGAGGUGGUAAUGUUAGAUUAAAACUUAAUGUGUUGGAUGCACCUUGAGAAGUUCUCGAGGUGUUAGACCAUGCGUUGUGUUCAAGGUCUAGGGCCUAUCGUUGCAUGAGCGAUUCGAGGGUGAUGUUCCGACAAUGGUUAUUGGCGUCGCUAAGUUCCGACAUAUUGGAACUAAUCGAAUAUGGAUUUCAUAUAUUAUAAUCUAGGAAUGCCAUUAUGGUGCUCUAGAUUUACUAUAGCGAAUCUUUCUUAGUUGUAAAUGGAGAUGCAAGGCAAUUAACUUUUGUUUUAAUAGAGUUCCUUUUAAUUCGAAAAAAGAAGAGGAUGGGGGAUAGGGUCACGCUGCGUCAGCGCAAGAGUGCACAAAAUUAGUAAGGCCUUGUUUAGUUCACCCCAAAAUUUAAAAACAUUUUUAAAUAUUCCCCAUCACAUCGAAUCUUGUGGCACAUGCAUAGAGUAUUAAUAGAUAAAAAAAUUAACUGUACAAUUUGUUUGUAAUUUAUGAGACAGAUUUUUUGAGCUUAGUUAGUCUAUAAUUGGACAAUAAUUAUUAAAUAUAUACAAAAGUGCUACAGUUGCCAGAUCUAUUUUUUUCACCAACUAAACAAAGCCAAACUCUAAUAUGAGCAGGGUAGGUCAAGAGGAGUCUCUGCAUUUACACACUUCGAAGGGUGGCCGGUGUAUUUUUGGAAUGCGUUGCUAACCAAGUAGCCAGUCUGUUGGUAUGAGCUGGGAGCUGCUGGGAACGAAAGGAUACAAUACAAUAGCCUAUAUAGUUUAAUGCCUAACCAAAAUGACAUGUACAAUAGCCCUGUAGCAAAAUAAAUCACGAUUUUUUUAAUACAAGAGAAAUUAACGAGGGUGCUGCGAACGCUCUUAGACGACAAAGUCAAUCUAACGAAUCGUACUCCAAAAUGUGGAUAUCAAAAACUGUAUCCUGAGGCAAAAAAUACACUAAUCAGACUUUGUCGAUAUACCACACAGUAUAUUGUCCUUCCACGAGCCAUUGACCAAACACUAAUGCGACGAUGAAUGAAGAGAUCGAGUGGAUCAGCACAGGCCCCACCCAUUAUGAGUUUAUGACAGCCUGAAAUGGACCAGGCGGGUACAGGAAUCAAAUCGCUCGGAGGCAUCAUUAUAUUUUAUAUAUUUAUAUUUAUAUGUAUACCAGCAAUCAAACCAACCAUGGCAACAAACAACGUCCAACUAAGCUUCCUCUUGGGAAGAAGUUGGGAACUGACCUACCCAUCUUAUUGCCCCACAAUAAAUAAACAACCAAGAAUUUAAAUUGGAAAGAUUGCUGGAGAACCAAGGAUGACUCUCAGGGUCGUUGAUGAAAGAUCAAGCUACUUUCUAUAUACCCACACAUCAGCAACGCUCUCACUCUACGAAUCUCUCUUUGAAAGAAGAAAAAAAAAUCUCGAAUGCGUGCAUUCUCUGCAACCUAGACGAGCGAUUUUUUCUUAUUGGGACGGGGGUAGUAUGUUCUACCAAAUGAAGAAGUCUGGCUGACCAUAUCGAAAAAGGUUAACCAAGAACACCAUCAGCCAUGAACAUUACCUCUGCAUGCCUUGUGGCAAUGGAGAGACCUGGCAAGCUAUUCUUCGCCCUCUCCCCCUCCCCUGCACGCAAAAGGCAUGCAUCUAAUAAACAAUAGUGUUUCACCUUUCAUCAAGCUGGUAAGCAACCGAGCACCAGAAGGGCCGAAGGGGUAACCCACGACCAGCCCCAGACCCCCACACCACCCACUCCGCUACACCACGCCAAAGCGUUUGCCACCCCCUACCGACCGACGCGACAACACGCGUGCCACACAUUCGUCGGUCCUCGCACUGCCACAUAUACAUAUAUAUAUAUAUAUAUAUAUAUAUAUAGGAAUACCAAUAUACCAGUAUACUACCGCAGCAAAUUCGCCGUGCCGAUUAUACAUGAGACGCGAGAUGCAUGAUCGACCAACUUUCGGCUGUGCCGAUGCCGGCCCAUGGUUUCAAUUUCAUGGCUCCAGGAUCAGCUGCGUCUUCGUGCCGUCCGUCGUGGUGGAGCGGAGAGAGCGACCCCGGCCGGCCGGGCAGUGACGAACAACGUGCGACGGCCUUGCUGUUGCGUUGCACUUGCACUGCGGCCGCACUGGAUCACACGACAUGAGCUUCGUCCAGCGGCGGCAGCAUUUCUGGAGUACAUAUCCGAGAUUCCGAGACGCGCGCGCGCGCGCACACACACACACAAUUGCAUGCAAGAAACAGACAUGGACGGAUACAAGGACGACGACGAUACACAUACACGCACACGGCAGGCAGCAGAGCAGUAUAACAAGUACUAUGUAAUGUAAUGUCACAACAACUACGAUGCGCCAAAGAAAAACAAAGCUAGUACACCACGAUCUCGCUAGAUCUAGAUUCUAGACAACCUGAAUGGAAGGGAGAGUAGGAGAGCACCACCGAGUGAUCGAGUCGAGGCGGAAAUUGGCGAAGCCACUUGGCCGAUGGGCGAUGUCCCGUUUUUUUCCCAGCAGGAAGGCACAGGCAGGCAGGCAGGCAGGAGAAUCGGGUCCGGUUCUGUUCUGUUCCGCAGGACGGAUUGGAACGGAACAGCAGCCAGCCGCCCUGUCGCGCCGCGCACGCAGGUCGGCCCGUCGGUCGUCGAUCGGCGGCGCGCCACCUGCCACGCCCCCGCCGACGUGGCCGUCAGUCCUUUAUCUGCAGCCAGCGGCCGAGCUGCGUCGGGUUAACGACGCCGGGGACGUGGGCCCCGCUCGCCAUUAGCAGCCACGACACCUCCGCGUACCUCCUUUUCGGGUCCGGCUCGGCCCGCGCCGGAGCCGUGCCAGGGGCCCCGCGGCUCGGCUCGAUCCGCCGCCCCAGGAGCGUGCCGUGGGCGAGGAACUCGUGGGCCAGGUGGCCGGCCAGGAGCUUGUUGCCGCUGCCGCCGCCGGCGGCGGCCGGUGCUGCCGCGCGAGCCGGUACCGGAGCCGGCUUCCACGGCUCGGCUUUAGCCGGCACCGGGAGCGGCUGGGCCUGCUGCGCCUGGGCGGCCUGCAGCUCGCGCUCACGCUCCUUGCGCUUGCCAAGAGCGACACGCGCCGCCUCAAGCUUCUCGCUGAGCGACAUAUCGACGGCUAUGCUUCGCCUCUAGCCACGUCAGCGCGGAGCUGAGCCGUCCAAAGGAAAGACGGAGGAGACGCACAAAGUUUUUUUUUUUUUUUUUUUUUUUGCUCCUGUGGUAUGCUGCUGGUCUGCGGAGCAGGGGAAGGGGGAAAGAAAAAGAGACAGGGUACAAAGUAAGAACAGAGAUGGUGGGACCCACUAGGGGCAGGACCGUAAUUUCACAGGGCAAAAGCAGAAGAGCAGGGGAGGAGGGAACGGCGGAAGAGAACGAGAGGGAGGGGAGGAUGGAAGAAGAAGCAGGAAAAAAAAAUCUGGUUCGGAGGGAUAGGGAAGGAGGGUAUGAGGUGGGGGGAGGCCUACUAUUUAUAUCAUGUGGUGGUCAGGAGAACCCAUGGAUUACGCCCUAAUCACGAGACUGCCACCGCGUUCUAAGCGGGAAGGAUGCCUACGGAAGGGUAGGCUCGUAGUUUUUCGGGAACACCGCAGGAUAGUAUGGGUAUUUGGUCAGGCGGGAAGGUUAGCGCGCUCGGGAAACUCCGUCGGGAGUGUAUGCGCGGGCCACGACGCUGGGCCCCGUCCGGGGGCCACCCGUCAGUGGUACGCAGGUAGUUUUGGUUGGUGUACAUGUUUUUUUAGAGGACAGUUCCUACAAUAUCCAUUUCCUUCCGCCUCUUGCAGAUCUCCGUCGUGGCGCCUGGAACCGUUCACCCAUGGAGAUGGCCUUGGCCGGCCUCGGCGCCGCCGGUCGCUACCUUCUCUCACGCCCGUGGGGCACCCGUGGUGCGGGGAGGAGGAAUCCGGGAAGGUUGGCAGAGCUGACUGCGAGGUGGGCCCGUGGGAGGGCAGCCGGGCCAGGAUUUUGAGGGCCGACUCCUGCAGUCCCGGCGGUGAGAGGACCGGGAAUAGAUGGAUUUGUAGAGGAGUCUUAGCAGGUCGGGUCACGCGUUCGCGGGUAGGACGAAGGAGGCUAGUCCGGCGACGGCAUCGGGGAGCUUGUUUUAGAUGGACCUAUAGAGCGCAGGCGCGCAGGCGGCCGAGAGGAGCACAGCGCGGAGCGUGUACUGCGUGGCGGGCGAUAGCGCGGGGUAGAUGACGGACCGGAACGACGGGGCGAUGACGAUGAGGCGGCGCAGCAGCACGGCGGCGAUGGGCGCGGAGGGGUGUGCCCGGGGAGAGCAGCAGUAGCCGAGGCUCAGCGCUAGCGCGUCCGGGUAGGAUGGGAGUAUGGGACCGGGUGGGUGGCGGGAGGCUGAGUUGGGACUGCUGCUCCGUCCGCGACCUCGCCUCGUCCUGCGCCCGCGGAUCCAUGGGGCACGGAACGACGCGGGGCUGAGGUCCUCCAGCAGCGCCGCCGGGUCAGCGCCCAGCACCACCGCCAUGUCCUGCGCCCGCGGAUCCAUGGGGCACGGAACGACGCGGGGCGAGGGGAACGACGAGGCGGGGGAGUGGGACGAGCCGCAGGGCUGUGCAGCGCCCGCCGCCUAGAUGUUCUGCACCAUGAAUAUUCCGUCCCAUUCCUCUUCUCCUUGGCGCCGGUCCUGUGUUCGCUCAGCAGUGGGGGAGGGGCCACAGAUCGGGAGUCGCCUUUGGUGUCUGGUCACUCACCGCUGCCCGGCGUCUCCGCCCGGGUCGCCUGCGCUCAGAGGGCGCCAAAUCGAUACAGCGACGCCACCCUCACUCGUUCCCCACCAGCAACUGGCUGUCCUGGGCAGCGACGGCAUCCCGGCACGGCCGCAUCUACACCCACUCCUGGCUCGUCUGUGCAGACCGAGCCGCGAGCCACCCUGCCAAGGCAAGUACCCUAUCAAUCCUUGAUGUGUUCAUGCCUUACCAUGUGUUUUUUACCUAGUAUGCAUCGCAAUCAGUUUAAUCGCGUUACCUAGGUGCUCCUGAUCCACUGUGUAGCAGGUUGCUUGACUGAUUACCUUGUUAGUUCUUAAUUUUAUUGAGUAUUUGCCUUGAUUCCUAGGGUUCUUAAUUUCAGAGGACAAUUCAUUAGUACGCACUGCAGGUAGUCAUCUCUUCUCACCCCCAUCUUGACCUUUGCAGAUCCAAUUUGCUUCCGUUAUCUAUUUGUAUAAUCUGGUAGUGAGGCCAUGAUAAUUUUCUAAAUACUCCAAUUACUGUUUACAUUUUGGUUGAUACCAAGAUGAAAACACAUAGUAGUGCUCAACUGAUGCUACUUUGUGGUUAAUGGCUUAAGAUAUAUUUCUGAUGUUAGUGUUGAGUAUAGGCAAAAAAGAUGCCAAUAAUCCACUAUGGCUGGUUCCUAUUGGGGACAAAUAACCUGGGAAAUGAGUUAUUAUAAUUCUUCUUGGUCCUGAAUCUUGUUACUUUUGCAGCUUUCAAGCUCUGUGGACUGAGAACAUUAAGUGGCACAAAACGACAUGGCUGGCAUUGUUUGAUUUGUAAAACCUUCAUGUAAAAACAUUACUAUUUAAAAUGUUUAAUUCCUUCAUAAUUAGUGAUACACUACACCAGUCAUACUAAAACAAUAAAGCCUACUGCAAUGUCAUACAAAGCAUGGAGUUAGAAAAUUUUCUAGUGUAGUUCAAACUCGACAUGGUAAUUAGAACUAUAAAAGUAGUGUAUCUUUAACAUGGAAAUCAAUAUGAAGUACAGUUCUAACACAUUUUUAGCUUUGGCAUCUUUUUUUAAUGGAAGGGCAUUAUCUUCUCUCUCUCUCUCUCUGUAUUUGCAUUCUGAAUGGCUGUUUCACUCUGUUUGUUUUUUAUGUGACUUAUUAGGCAUAUGACUCCACUGUUGCAGCAAUGUUAAUGAACUACUAUUGUCAAUGUAAUUGGACCUUUCAGUCACAAAAAGGCCUAGAAUCUAAGCUGCAAUUCCUUCUCCUAAACUGCUAGUUGAGUAGAAGAAUAGAAUUGGUAAAGGGUAAUAGAAAGCAUAUGCAAAGAGAUGGAUGCUCUUGAUGUCAUACAAAGCUGUUCAGUCUGAAUAACUCUGUGUGCUGCAUUUGCAGGCAGUUGUCGACUGUCGUAUUUAUUAGGUAUCCAUUUAAACUAAAAACUAGUAUAUUUGUCAUAUUAAGAAGAGGCAUAUGGCACUGUUUAGCGAUCUGUAAAAUUAGUAGCCAUUUUUAAACAAGCACACUUCAGUAGCACUAAUUUGUGGAACACAUGUUUCAGGUAAAACAUGUUUCUACUUGAUUUGCUAUAUUUACUUGCACUGGGAUUGUGUUCAGUUGAAGUACCAAUCUUCCAUUAACAGCUGUGACUAAAAUUGUUAUACUGCUGCCUCAAAUCCUUAAGUGUUAUACAAUUCAUAUUGUUAGCUUCUCGUUUAUGAGUAGGUAUAUCCUACACUAAGUUGGGUAUAUUAGGGCACUCCCAAUGCAGAAGACAUUAAUUGCAGUGCCACCUAAGCAUUUGCGAUGUGACAAUGUAGUUAUUGAAGAGAGAGUAAAAAUCAUAAAAACUGUGGGUCUAAGUUAGAAACCAUGUCUAAUCCAAGACAUGAAGUGAUAUGAUUGGCUAAGAAUGGAGAGAAAAUGAAUAUGAUUGGAUAUAAAAAUAUUCUAUAGAAACUAUCAUAGUUUCUAUACAUAGUGUCUAUAAAAAUUAAUGGGUAUAGAAACUAUUUGUAGUUUCUAGCAUUGGGAGUGCCCUUAUGGGACGCUGGACAUUUCUGGGAUGCUGGGAAUGAAAGUUGUAACAUUUGGACCUACUAAAGAAAUUUGUCUUAGGGCAUGAUAAGCUACUUAAUCAGGUUGAGUUCUACACAUGGUCUCCCCUGUAGUUAUCAUUAUUCUUUCUGCAUAGAAAUGUGUUCUCUAUUCCCUCGCCUUGCCUACUGCGGUCAUCCAAUUCGCAGGGGUCCUCCUCCUUUUUUUUCCCCUCGCCUUAGGCCUUGUUUAGUUCGCAAAAUUUUUGUUUUUGGCUACUGUAGCAUUUCGUUUUUAUUUGACAAACAUUAUCCAAUCACGGAGUAACUAGGCUCAAAAGAUUCAUCUACCAAAGAUUCGAUGUGACAGGGAAUCUUGAAAAUUUUUACGAACUAAACAAGGCCUUAUGGAUAUUGUACAGCAGAAAUUGUUUUUCGCAGUGCUUUUCGCAGUUUGAUUCCAUAGGGCACGGUAAGGGCAAAUGGGCCACAAUCCACGAGGACAGUCCGACAGAGAGUAUGCUGACGUAUUGUGGAGAGGCAACCACGGCAAAGGGUGAUGGGGGCCAACAAGAAAGGGCUGCAGAUGGUGCAGAGAGAGGGAUCACCAUAAGAUCUGUGUUUUUUGCUACUUUGAUCAUUUGUGUGAAAACUCUGUUAUUAGUACUGGAAUCACAUUUGUUACGUCAACAAAUAUUGCGGCCAGUUUUUUGAAAUCCUGUGGAACAAAAUCAGCUAUAGUCUGUACACUCUGCUGGCUGUAGCGGCUGUUGUCUGGUUGGCUACUGCAAAGCAUAAAUGAUAAAGUGCUACAGUAGCCAAAACCAAAAUUUUUCCAAAACUGAACAAGGCCCAAUUCGGCUCUGUUCUGUCUCGCUCGCUGGUUAGAUUGUGGCUGUAUUGUACCCUGUUGCGUUUAUACUUAAUGCACGCACUUGCAUGCUUCGAU